AAUUUUCAUCUGGGUAAUGCUCAACAUUUCUUUUGUUCAGAGUAUGUCAUUUUACUAUUUAUUAUUUAAAUAAACCACAUAAUGAGAUGCAUGAAAAUGGUCAGGUAGGGACGAAAGGGAUACCUCACAUUUAUUUAUUUCAAAGGUAGCAAAGAAAGAAAGUUAACCAAGGAUAGUAAAAAGUAUCAUAAAGAGAAAGGGCAUCGCAUUCAACAGAUACAAAUGCUCUAGAUAUUCAACACAUGAACUCUUCCACGUUUUUUAAUCAAGAAUCCUUUCGAGUGUGGCUUCUUGUGUAGAAGAUUUCGAGCUUUCAGAAAUGCUUCAAAUACUGUAGUCUCGCUGUUUGACCCACCGUUCAACCGCCUUGCUCUUUAAGCCCGGGUUUGCUUCAUUAGGAUGCCCUUUCGGGUUUUCAUACUAAUCUUUUGUGUUAAUCAAGACGCCCUUUCCGGGUUUUCAUCUUAAUCUUUUUUUUUAGGCAUAAUAUUUCUUUACAGCAUCUGAGUUCACUGGGUUAGGUAACACUUUCCCAUCCAUCUCAGUGAGAAUCAAAGCUCCACCUAAGAAAGCCUUCUUCACGACAUAUGGUCCUUCCCACUUUGGUGCCCAUUUUCCUCAGAAGUCUUUUUGUAUUGGGAGAAUCUUUCUCAGCACGAGUUCUCCUUCGUGGAAUUCUCUUGGCCAUACUUUCUUGUCAUAAGCCACGAUCAUUCUCUUCUGGUACAUCUGUCCAUGACAGAUUGCCUUCACCAUUAAGACUCGUAGAGAGGGGAUCUCAACUUCAAUAGGUAGCACAGCUUCCAUUCCAUAGACCAGAGAGAAAGAUGUUGCUCUUGUAGAUGUCUGCACAAAUGUACGAUGUGCAUACAAAGUGAAUAGUAGCUUCUCGUGCCAGUCUUUAUAUGUUCCGGUCAUUUUCCCAAUAAUCUUCUUAAUAUUCUUGUUGGCCGCUUCAACUGCUCCAUUCAUUUUCGGGUGAUAGGGUAAGGAGUUAUGCUGCUUUAUUUGAAAUUGUUCACACACUUCCUUCAUCAUCUUAUUGUUCAAAUUCAAAGCGUUAUCUGAAAUGAUUCUUUUAAGCAAACCAUAUCGACAAACGAUUUCCUUUUUUAAAAACCUGCAAACUACAGUCUUCGUCACAUUAGCAAAUGAAGCGGCUUCUAUCCACUUCGUGAAAUAAUCUAUCACUACAAAAAUGAAUCGGUGUCCAUUAGAAACUUUUGGGGAAAUUGGCCCUAUAACAUCCAUGCCCCACAUAGAAAAAGGCCACGAAAAAGUCAUGAUAUGAAGGGGCGAAGGGGCUACAUGAUUUUAUCACCAUAAAUUUGACAUUUGUGGAAUUUUCAUACAAAACUAAUGCAGACACUUUCUAUCGUUAGCUAAUAGUAACCGAGUUUCAUAAUCUUCCUGGCCAUAGUGAAACCAUUGGUAUGUGUCCCACAAAUUCCCUCAUGGACAUCUUCAAGUAUUUUUCUGGCUUCAACAGCAUCUACGCAUCUCAAGAGCACUUGAUCUUUUCCUUUUUUGUACAGAAUGUCCCCAUCAAGAACGAAUCCUACUGCCAUUCUUUUGAUUGUUCUUUUAUCGUUCUUAUUUGCUUGUUUGGGAUACUUUUGGUUCUUGACAUAUUCUAAGAUAUCAUGGAACCAUGGUCGUCCAUCUGGCUCUUUUUCAAUACUGAAGCAAUGUGUAGGGACUUCAUAUAUGCUCAUUUGCAGAGGCAUUAUUUCUGCUUCUCUGUUCGCUUUAAACAUUGAAGCUAAAGUGGUCAGGGCAUCAGCCAAUUGGUUUUUUUCUCGUGGGAAGUAAUUAAAAGUUAUUUCUUUGAAUUCUUUAAUUAGUCUUGCCACUAGAUCGUUGUAUUUGACCAAUUUCGAAUCUCUCACUUCCCAAUCUCCACAGAUUUGGUAUAUCACCAACGCCGAGUCCCCAUACACCUCUAAGACUUUAACGUUUCGUUCAAUAGCUGCACGAAGUCCCAUGAUACAGGCCUCAUAUUCCGCUAUGUUAUUUGUACAGAAGAAAUUCAGCCUGGCAGUGAAGGGAUAAUGGUUCCCUUCUGGUGAUACUAAGACUGCUCCAAUCCCAUGCCCCAAUGUAUUCGAUGCACCGUCAAAGCUCAUCUUCCAUGACUUCUCUUUAGAUGACUCACAUUCUUUUCCCGUAAUGCACAUCAAGGCUUUAUUUGGGAAAUCAAAUCUCAAUGGCUCGUAUUCCUCCAUCGUUCGAGUUGCUAACAAAUCAGCUAUUGCACUCCUUUUUAUUGACUUUUGGCUCACAUAGACGAUGUCGUAUUCUGAUAGUAGGAUCUGUCAUCGUGCCAUUCUUCUUGAGAGUGCAGGUGAUUCCAUCAUGUACUUUAUUGGGUCCAGCUUUGAAAUUAAUACAACAGAUAUUGCCUAAGCCUCCGAACUACCCAAACCAAAGCACAACAGAAUUUUUCAAUUAACGAGUACUUUGCCUCAUACUCUGUGAACUUUUUGCUGAGAUAGUAAAUCAUCUUUUCUCUUUUCCCUGACUCAUCAUAUUGCCCCAGUAUGCAACCCAUUGAAUUUUCGAACACAGUCAGAUACAAUAUUAACGGUCUUCCUAGAGUUGGCGGUACUAGUACCGAGGGACUAGACAAAUUCCGUUUUAUCCUGUCAAAACCCACUUGGCACUCUUUGUUCCAUUCUCCCGGAUUAUGUUUUCGAAGGAGUCGAAAAAUUGGGUCACACUGAUUAGUAAGUUGAGCAAUGAACCGAGCGAUGUAGUUCAACCUCCCUAAAAAUCCUCUGACUUCUUUUUGCGUGCGCGAAGGUGGUAAUUCUUGUAUGGCUUUUAUCUUAUCCGGAUCAACUUCAAUGCCUCUCUCGCUGACGAUGAAGCCUAGCAAUUUUCCUGAGGUAGCCCCAAACGUACACUUGGAUAGAUUAAGCUUUAGUUGGAACUUUCUCAGUCUUUCGAACAACUUCUUGAGGUUCCCAACAUGCUCUCUUUCCCCCUUGGAUUUGGCGAUCAUAUCAUCGACGUAGACUUCUAUUUCUUUGUGCAACAUGUCAUGAAACAACAUCACCAUGGCCUUCUGAUAUGUUGCCCCAGCGUUCUUUAAUCCAAACGGCAUCACCUUAUAACAGAAUGUUCCCCACAUCGUUAUGAAAGUAGUUUUCUCCAUAUCCUCAAUAGCCAUAUUUAUCUGAUUAUAACCCGAGAAUCCAUCCAUGAACGAAAAUAAUGAAUAUUUGGUUGUGUUAUCCACUAAUGUAUCGAUGUGUGGCAAAGGAAAAUUAUCUUUAGGACUUGCUCGAUUUAAAUCACGAUAAUCCACACACAUUUGUACUUUGUUGUCUUUCUUCGGUACUGGUACUAUGUUAGCUACCCAUUCUGGGUACUUGGAGACUUAUAGGAAGCCAGCAUCAAACUGUUUCUUGACUUCUUCUUUUAUCUUUAAUAGCAUUUCAGGUCUCAUUCAUCUUAGCUUCUGUUGAAUGGGUCUGCAUUCUGGUUUCAGUGGGAGUCUAUGGACCGCUAUAUCUUCGUUCAAACCUAGCAUGUCCUGAUACGACCAUGCAAAUACAUCUUUGUACUCAUGGAGCAAAGCAAUCAAAUCAUGUUUGGUGUUAUCUGAAAUGGAGGUCCCAAUCUUCACUUCUUGCCUCUUUUCUUCAUUUCCUAAGUUUACUAUCUUAACAGAUUCUUGAUGAGGUAGAAUCUGUUUAUCUUCUUGUUCUACCAUUCUUAGUAAGUCAGGAGACGAGACAUAGUCUUCAACAUUUUCCUCAGCUUCAAACUCUCCUAAGCAAAUAGCCUUUUCAAAAUCGAUUUCAAGAUUUGUGACGGGUUUUUUCAUAUCGUUGAUAUCUGAGCACCUGAAAGUUGAAUGGAAAAGAAAACUAUAGAGGAGCAUCAAAGUAUUGGGACCAACAAGCAUAAUAUAAUGGCAUGAUGUGAGAUAUAUACAAUGAGAAGCUAUGAGAAGAGGGAAAAAUUAUGAAGUUAAUGAGAAUGAAAAGACCAUGAAAAAAUGCAUCUUCAUUAAUGUUCAUUUAAUGAUAAAGACCAUGACAAAAUGCAUCUUCAUUAAUGUUCAUCUAAUGAUAAAGAGCAAAUCAUAAGCUUUUACAAAAGAAUCCCUACUAUUACUUAGGGACACAUAAAAAUGAGAGUGUUAACAUUGAGCAUUACUCUGGAGAAGACUUAGAAACUACAAGGACAUCCACAGUAGUUCAAUUGUUCAAAAUGAAUCCAGGAGGGCAAGGGCGUAUCAUUGAAACAUCUUUAAUUGCAUCAUUUCCUUUGUCAAUGACAUUUAUACUGACAUUCUAAAGACCCCUUUCAAUUAAUAACAGCGUGCUUCGUGGAUUAUCUUGCCCAGGGUAUAUCAUUCCUGCAGAUGUAAAUGUUUUUGACAAAGGAGGGUACGUUAUGGGUUUCCAUUCUAAUUCUCGGCCUAAGGCUCUUGCAAUCCACCUUUCUCGAUCUUUUUGCAACUGUUUUCUUCUUUGUCGUAUAUCUGGUUCGAACCUUAAACAGUAUCGAGCCUUGUGGGUUGCCGAUUUUAGCGCUCUAAUUAUCCCUUACUGAUAUCUCCCCAAACCUUUCCUCGCUCGGGCUCCCUUUCCCACAGUCAGUUUAAUUCCCAUCUUGGUAUUCCUUGACAGCUUAGGCAUGGGAAUUUUAUUUCCUUCAGCAAUGAACGUAGCAUUGAUGAAUUUGAAUGAAUAGAAGGAACAUUCUACUGCAUCCUUACUUACUUCAAGGUAUAAUGUAUCAGCAGAGAUAGAUGCGACAAUGUCCUCCUCACCCACGAUAGUGACCAAAAGACCAUCCAUGAUAAACUUCACUUUUUGAUGGAGAGAUAAAGGAACUGCCCUAGCAGAGUGGAUCCAAGGCCUUCCUAAAAGGCAAUUAUAUGAAGGCGUGAUGUCCAUGACCUGAAACUCGAUGUCAUAUAUAUAGGGGCCCACUUCUAGAGGAAUUUUGAUUUUUUUCCAUGACUUCUCGUUUUGUCCCAUUGACUACUCUUACUGUAGAGUGACAAGGCCUCAGAUAAGAUAUAUCAAUUAGAAUUCUAGAAAGCGUGGCCAAAGGCAUGACAUUAAGUGCUGACCCGUUAUCAAUGAGCACAUUCGGUAUUAUAUAACCCUUGCAACGGGUUGUGAUAUAUAAUACUUUUACGAAGCCCCUACCAUUUGGCGGUAUUUCGUCAUCACUGAAAGAAAUAAUAUUAUCCGUGUUCAGGUUAUUCACCCAUCUAUCAAGUUUUUUGACAGAUAUAUUGCUUGCUACGUAAGCUUGAUUUAACACUUUCAGCAAAGCAUUUCGAUGUGGUUCUGAAUUCAACAGUAGGGAUAAUACCAAGAUUCAUGUCGGUUGUUUGCUUAACUGUUCCACGACGUUAUAUUCAUUAUGCUUGAUGAACUUAAAGAAUUCAUGUCCUUCUUCUUCAUCCACGGGCCUUUUAACUUCUUGUUCGAAUGGAGUCUCAAGUUUAACCUUGGCCUUGUGCAUCGGUGCCUUUCCUUUCUGCUUCAAGUCAUUAUUCUUCUUUAUUGGUUCGACCGCUUUAGAAUAACACAUCCCGCUGUGGGUGAAGUGUCCUACUUCGCUAACAUUUUUAGUCGUGACUUUGGAUUUUUCACCUUCAGGUAUGAUAAUGUUGACAUCAUAUUUCCAUGGUACUGACUUAUUGUCUUUGUAAGGGAAAGGAGAUGGUACUUCAAUUAUCAUCUUUGGUUUCAUUUGCUCUUUUUUUACAUCGUAAUAAAUCACCAAUGGUCGAUCGGCACUAUAAAGGAAACCUGAUGAUUGUUUAUCAGAAGUGCAUACUUCUCCUUCAUCGUCCUCUUUCAUUUUGUUAGAGAUCUUGACUUCUUUGUUGUCCAUCAUGUCUUGAAGUAGUUUUCUAAAUUCUUCACAAGACUGGAUAUCAUGCCCCUCGAUCCCAUGAAAAUCACAAAAACACUGACUUUUUGUAUUUCUUUCUUUGAAACUUCUGUUAGGGUGACAGAACAGCCCCUUUUCAACCAUUACCUCUCAAAUCUUUCGCAGCGGUGUCUUUAUUUCAGAAACACAACUCUUGGCACGCCACCUGUCUUCUUUUGCUAACACGCUUACGUUUCCUUCAGUGUGGUUAGGGAGCGAAUUUCCAGCCGUAUUGCCAGUACCAUCAAAUCAUAAAAUACCUGCAUCGAUAAGACCUUGAACCCUCCUUUUAAAGGCUAGCCAAUUUUCUGUAGAAUGCCCCUGAUUUCCGACGUGGUCCAUGCAACUGGCAUUAGGAUCGUACCAUUUUGGGUAUGGAGGCUUCAGGGGUGCAAUAUAAUGUGGGGAUAUUAAUUUUUUUCCAAUAGUUUUGGGUACAGCUCUCCGCAUGACACGGGAAUUAGGGUGAACUAGGGUACUGGGGUUUUUCAAGAUUGGAUCUUGUCGAUCUUUGUUCAUUUUUGGGUUGGUUUUGAGCAGGCAUGCUAUUUGGUAGGAACAUGGCAAAUGAUCUUUGGUUAUCUGUGGCUUAGACGGAGAAAGGAGGAGGUACUUGAUAGUAAGGGCUUUGGGGAGGAUAAUAAAAGUUUGGAGUAGGCGAUAUCGAGGUCGUGGCUGGACUGAGUAAGGAUUAGAAGUGUGGUGGCUCUCAGCUCCCACCAUAUGGGCUUCUGCCUCUUUUUUCUUUAUAGGUGAUGCCCUUUUCAAGCUCUCAGAACCUUUCAUCCUUCCACUUUUGAUGGCAUUUUCUAUAAGUUCCCCGGAUAUUACAAUAUCUGCAAAGUCCUUCGUGGCACUUCCUACCAACUUAUCAUAAAAUGGUGCUUUCAAAGUAUUGAUGAAGAGGACCGUUAUUUUAGUUUUAGUCAAUAGAGGUUCUACUUGAGCCGAGAUAUCCCUCCACCUUUGCGCGUAUUGCCUAAAAGUCUCCGUCGGCUUCUUUUCCAUUAUCUGCAGAGUUAGCCGAUCAGGCACCAUGUCAGAUACAUGCUUGUAUUGUUCACAAAAUGCUGACACCAAGUCUUUCUAUGAUCGGAUCCUUUUUCUACUAAGUUAAUUGUACCAUCGAAAGCUCGAUCUGACCAAGCUAUCCUGGAAACAGUAUAUUAACAAUUUAUCUUCAUUCACGUAACCAGUCAUCUUUCGGCAAAACAUGACAUGAUGCGCCUUUGGACAUUUCGUUCCAUCAUAUUUUUUAAAAUCUAGCACUUUAAAUUUUGGAGGCAGAACCAGACUGUGCACCAAACUAAGCUCUUUGGCACUUAGUGCAGAGAAGGUUUCAGCACCUUCUAUCGCCUUGAGCCUUUCUUCCAAGCUUCUAUACUUAUUCCGGGCAUCAUGAUCAUCCAUUUUCAACCUGGCUAUUUCUACCGGAUCGUCCAAAUCUGGAAUAUCGGGAUCAGUAGGAUUAGCUCCGGGGUUCAAUACGAAUAUACCUUGCCUUAGAUGAGUAGGGGGUACGAGUCGUUACGCCAAGCUUGCAGGUUCUCCUCGAUGACAUUCUCUUUGCAUUACAUGUGUGUGAGGUGGAGUGAAUCCUGGGGGAUAGAGCGGAUCCUGAUCAUGAUUAGCUCUUGGCUGAGGCUCCAUAGUGUCAGGGCUCUGCAUAGGUCCUUUUCCUUUGACCAAAGCUGUCAUCAUCUCCAUCAUUUUAGCCAUCUGAUCUCUUUGCUCGAGCGAUUCCACUCGAGAUCUUAACAUCAAAUCUCUUACUUCCUAUUGUGACUUGGUCAACUACUCUUGCAAUUCUCUUUGGGUCCUUUCCAUCCUUUCAAUUCUCUCAUUGAACUCGGCUUCUAUAAUUCUAGCUUUUCGGCGCGUCCUAUAAGAAUGGCGUGAUUCCAGACUUGGAGUGUUGCAACUACGAAUUAUACGGUUUUAGCCUCAGUGAAUGAUUAUGGUGAUAUGUACAUGCAAUGAACAGAUAAAUGAAUGAAUGACGAAUGAAUGUUAGUCAUGAAUGAAUGUGCAAGAAUUUGGUGUUGAUUUCAAGAUGGCCCCUACUUAGGCAUUUCAUUAAUCAAAAGAGUCUAUUACAAAAUGUUUCACUAUCUUUGAUUCAAUAGUUACAUAAAUUUUCUAGCCACAUCGCCUUGUUUCUUCACUCGUUCUAAGAAUUCUGAUAUACUUGAUCUUUGACUCGAAGGGAAUUGGCAACUGAGAGCUUCGGCUUCAUUUGAUGAUUGCACGACUUGCAUAGCCGCCUUGCGAAUUUCAUUGAUCAAAAAGUCGAGUUGCAUUUCCUUUUUUUGGAGAGCUCUUUCGUAGGCGUGAGUGUCUCUGUCGUACUGACUAUUCUUUUCUUCCAAGGCUUUUAGGAGAUUAUCCAACUGUUGCUGUUGAGCUUGCAGUGUAUUUUCUAAAUCUCUUACUUUCCCUCUUAGCUCUUGAUGUUUAAACUGACUAGUAAUUAGUUCUGUAAACACAGUUUCAUAUUCAAGAUUCUUCUUUUUCAACUCUAUCAUAGCACGCGCAGCUUUUUCCUCUUCUUUCUUUGCUUUCCCUCUCCAGAAAUCCAUCCCACCUUUGAUAUUGCUAAUUUCUUCCUUCCAUUCUGCUGACGACUUGCCCAAACCACUAUUUUUUAUAGUGUUUCUUAAUUUCUUAUUUUCUAAAUGAAAAUCCCUUAAAUCGUUUCUUACGAUCUCAGCCUCUCUUUGAGCUUUCCCGGUUUUAGAUUUUUCAAUUUAAACAUUGAUCUUCAGCUGGUAGUUUUCCUCUUGAAGAGAAUUGAUAUCUCGUAACAGCUUAGCCUUUUCACAUUCAAAUUCAUGUCUUGCUAUUUCCAACUCGGACGAUAUUUCUUCUGAGAAAAGAUUCUGGAAAGUAUAAUCCAUCAGCGAGAUUUGUUGACUGUUCACUCGUCGCUGUCUCCCUAUGUCAUAAUCUUGAAUGAUGGUAUCGGCAUAGAGAGCUAACUCCAUUAGGUGAAUUUCCUUUUAAGACUUUGCAGUAUCUCGGACUCUUUUCAUGUAACCCUCACCUGUAAAGGCAAACUCAGACUGUGCCAAUCCUCCGGUAGCAGGUAUGAAUUAUCGUGAAGCAAACUGUCUUUGAACCAUUAAUGGGGCAUAUCCAACUCCUCCCCAUAAUCCUAGUAAAGGCACCCAAUUUUGGCUUCCAGAUUUAUAUAACAGAAAUGAAGGACGGAUCCAUGGUGCUCUCCAAGUUAUCUCUUCGGCGCGAAGGUUUUGAAAAACUGAAACCCAGUGUUGUUCAGUAACAUCCUUUGACCAAUCUUUCUCAAGAUAAGCUUUCAAUGGGGAAAAUGUUUUAAAAAACAUGUGGAAGGGUGUACGCUCUACUUUCCAGAAAUGGCUCAGAAUCCAAACAUUAAGUAACUGCGCACAUCCGAUAAAACGUCCUUCCCCUUUUCUCCUACAACUGUUUAGAGAUCUAAAAGUCUCAGCUAAGAUAAUCGGGACGGGGUUGAUCCCUUGCCUCAACCUUUCGAAGAAAUCCACUACCGCAACGUCUACAUACUCGAGAACCUUUGGGAAGACAAUUAAUCCAUACAUGGCCAAAGCAAACAUCCAUUCUCUUCACAAUAUUUGGAUGGUUUUGAACUAAAUCUCGCAGAGAAAACCACGAAACACAACUAACUUCGUUCUUCUUCUUUAUUUGUUUUUCAGCCCACAUAUCAGUCAUUCUCGCCAACCUCACUAACUUUUUCUUGAAGGUUAUUGGUUUGGGCUCUUUCACAUAUAUCUUGCUGAAUUGUACAUUGUCAAUGCGAAGUAAGGCAACAUACUCUUCUAUGGUCGGAGUCAUAUCUUCCUGAUUGAAAGUGAAACAUUGAUAAGCUGGAUCCCAGAAUCGAACCAUGGCUUGAAUCAGUUGUUCGUCUACGUUGACGAUGAUCAAGUGAACUAUAUCCCCGUACUUUUCGGUGAAGAUGCCCCUAGUGUUUGAAUCCCACUGUUUCCAAAUCCGAGUCAAAUCCUCGAGGUUAUUCUGACGAGCAUUUAUAGUUACUUGCUCGGGAAGACUGGAGAUACAUCCUUCCGUUAAACUGUCCCCUUUCGCUUUCUGAGUCUUCAAAGACCAAUUUCGAAUCACGGUAUUUUUCUCGGUCACUUGUGUAAUUGACUCCUCCAUCAGAAAUCUGUUUUUGGCAACCAAUCUCUAAUCAACACCUUCCUAAUCAAGAUGCCUAUGAUGCAUGAUGAAAAAUAAAGAUAAAGACAAAUAACCUUGGUUAGUAAUCACAACAAAUAAGAACUGAGAAAAACUAUAGAAACUUCAACAAAUUAAGCUACCUAGUUCAAUUCCUUUGCAUAAACAGUGUAAAUGUAAAGGAAACGAAAGGCAAGAGGCGUUUCUCCCGUGUACUUAUUUUGGUGACUAUUAAUGGACAGAGGUUCGGCAUGGCUCUAAUUAGGUGGCUCAUAUGGUUUACUAUAUGCGGUUUCAGUUCUAGACAGGUACUCGAAUUGUUCGCACUAUCGUCUACUAAAACUAGUAUGAAGCCUCGGUCGUAGCCCAUCCAAGGCUCACGAUUUUAAUUCGAGGGAUUACAUUUACUUAUGCCUAUGCAGAGGGACAAGUUAACUCACGAAAGCAUAAGUCGUAUGUAACCCGGAAGUAUUCACUAGCCUGUGCGGAGGGAUGAGUUAACUCACAAAGGCAUAGCGUUUACUUCCACUUAAGCGGAUGGAGCCCAGGUAGAGAGCUCAUGUUAUGCAAAAAAUGCAAGUGCACGGUGUGUAGGGAGAAACUCACAAACCUUUACGUUUUAUUUAAAAACUAAACUAAAAAAAGCUAAAACCAUAAAACUUAGAGCUGAAAAACAACAAGAUAAAACAAGUUAGAAGAAUAUUUACAACAUGAUGCAAGUGCAUGGCUUUUCAAAAACAAAAUUUAAGGAUCACGACUAAAUAUUAAUUUGAACAAGAAAUUUUGAAAAUUUUGACAACAUGCGUUUAAUUCUAGACUCGACUCUCCAAAAAGGUCCUCAGUGAAGUCGCCAGCUGUAGCGACGUGAAAAAUUUCGCUUUGGUCACUUGUUGAGGCGAUUAUUUGAAAAUUUAAAAAUAGAAUUUUGAUUUUAAAAAGAAAAUGAGUCGCCACCGAUCUUUUUUUUCUAGGUGUGAUCGGACACCUAAUAAAUCCUCUUUUUAUAAAAAAAGAAAAUUUAUUUUUGAACAACAAUGAAGGCCGAAUUUGGGUCAACGCGAAAAUUCAGAGAAAAAUAGGGUUUGGGAGUCGGUUACGCACGAGGAAGGUAUUAGCACCCUCGCGACACCCAAAAUUGGUAUCUUGUUAAACAUGCGUUGUCUUGAUUUUCAAAAAUGCGAGUUCAAUAUAACAUUUAAUCGUGAUCCGAUUAAAACACGAGAAAUUUCUAGUUUUUUGGUUUUUUUUGAAGGAUGUCCCGUUUUUUUAACACGAGCCAACGUGAUUCAUCCAACAUAGUGAUGAAAUCAUAGACUUGAUGUUAAAAUCGGUACAUUGCCUUAUUUUUAAAAUUAAAAUGUAAAAAUGUUUUUAAAAUGAUAGUAAAAAAUCUUAGAAUAUUAUUGCAAAAAAAAUGCAAAUAAUGAUGCGAAUAAUAAAAUAUAUAAAAUAUAAAAUAUUAAAAUAUCAAAAUAUUAGAAUAAUAAUAAAUAAUAUUGACAAAUAAAAAUAAAAUAGAAAUAAAAAAGUGUACGUAAUAUAUAUAUUAGAAAUAAUAAUGAUGUUUAAAAACAAUACUAUUAACAAUACUACAUAAAUAUGUACAUAUAUAUUAAAAAUAAAUACAUAAUAAUAUUAAAAGUAUGUACAUAAUAUAGUGUUAAAAAUACAUACAUAAUAUAGUUAUUAAAAAAUAUAUACAUAAGAUAAUAUAAAAAUAUAUACAUGAAAUAGUAUAAAAAAAUAUAACUAAUAAUAUUAAAAAUAUAUACAUAAUAUAUAUAAAAACAAUUACGAUAUAUAUAUUAGAAAUGAUAAUAAUAUGAAAAAAAACUAUUAAUACACUACAUAAAUACGUACAUGUAUAUACAUAUAUAAAUAUUAAGUGAAAAUCAAUACUAGUACUAAUAAUAUUAAUAAUAAAUAUAAUAAUAAUAAUAAAUAUAUAUGCAUAUAAUAGUAAAAAAAUGAGACAUUUAAAAAAUAUAACUGAAUAUAAUAUAAUAAUAAUAAUAUAAAAAUAAUAGUGAUAACAAUAAUAUAUAACAUGAAUAAUAUUGAAAGCUAAAUGAAAUAGCAAAAAUAAUAUAAAAUUCAAGAUAAAUACGAAAAAUAAAUGAAAAAAGGACUAAAAUUGGAUUAAAAUCGAAGUUUUGGGGCAAAUUUAAAAUAAAAUAUAAAAAAGAGGACCCAUUUGAACGCGCGUGCAACUGCAGAGGGCCAAAAAAAUAAUUUACCCGAGCCUUUAAAACAGCGUCGCUAAAAGGAGGAUCAAAUCGCAAAGCGCGAUAAAUUUCAGGGCCAAUUUAAAAGAAAUAAAAACCUAAUUGCAAAAUAUAGAAAAAGCGGAAGGACCGCGCGCGCAAUUAGCCCCUAAGAGCAAAAACGCGCGGAUCCUGAGUGGGUAGGGUCGGGUCGACCCGAUCCAGGGCAAAACGACGUUGUUUUAUGCCCUGGAUCCCAAGGUCAAAACGACGCCGUAUUGCUUGGGUAUUUAAACCCCCAAAACUUUAUUUUUUCUUCAUUUCAGCCUCUCAAACAAAAAAAAACAAGAAAACCCUUCAAAAAAAAACUCUUUCCUCCACCCUUUGAAUCCGGCCAAACUCCGAUGGAACCUCCGCCACACGCCGCCAUCGCCGGCCACCGCACAUGGUGGCCAAAAGUUCAAAAGGUAACUUUUUUUUGUUUUUUUUAUUUUAUUUUAAUAAUACAUAUGUAUAUGUAUAUAAAAAGAGAGAAAAAACAAAAAAAAAAGAAAGAAAAAAAGAUUCGAAACAAGAAAAAAAAAGAAAAAAAAGGAUGCUAACCACCUUUUGUCAUUUCUGUAUUUUAUUCUUGCUUUUGGUUAUCCUCUGUUUUAGUGUUAUUCUCUACUUUGGUGGUUUAGAGUCACUUGUUUUGAGUUUGAAACUAUGGUUUUAUAUUCAUGAAUUGCCGAAUCCUUUACAUUGUUGUUUUUGGUGGCUUUUAUAGCCUUUACAAUGUUUUUAUUUAUUAUUUGUUGUCUUUUCUUUUUGAUUCCUUGCAGGUGCAAGUGGGCGACAGUGGCGUGUUGCAGGUGGCUGGUGGUGCAUAGGGCAGUUGGCCGAAAGUCAGGGGGUGGUUGCGGCGCCGCAAGCUAGGGGGCUAGGGUUAGAUUUAGGGGUUUUUUUUUGUUUGUUUCUGAUUUUGGGGUUUAGUGUUUGGGCUAUUAGGAAUUGGGUUUGGGGUUUGGGUUAUUGUUAGGUCAAAAUUGUAAAGGGUUAAUUUAAGUGUUGGCCUUCUGUUGGGUUUUGAUGUAAAUGGGUUUAAGUAGGUCUGAUAGGUUAAGGGUUUUGGGUUGGUUUGAUUCAAUUUGGGUUUGGGUUAGGUGGGUCAAAAUUGGUCUGCAACAACCUCGUAAUUAGAUCAUUUUAAUAAACGGUUUAAUUUAUUAAAACAAAUAUUUUUGGUUUACGAAAUUCAGGAAACGAGUUCGGGAGUCAGUUACGCACGAGGAAGGAUUAGCACCCUCGUGACGCCCAAAAUUAGUACCUAGUUGAUUAAUUAAAGUCUUGGUGUCGAAAAUUGAAAACCCGAAAAGAAUCUAAAAAUACGAUCCCUCUUUGUAUUAAUAUUUUCUUUUGCUUAAAAAGAUGCUUGAGUAAAUUGAAAUGUAUGUUAAAGACUCUUUUAUCUCGCGGUAACAAAAUGUCACAUCUCGUAAGUUAGGACAAGACACCUCGAAUCCUUGAGAAUAAAUUUGCCCUUUAUUUUUUAUUUAAAUCUCGUGUAUUUUAAUUUUGAAAGGAUAUUCUGUCAUUCAAGUUCGAAGAGAAAGUCAAAACCCCGUAAGUUAAGGUACGAUUUCUCGAAUCUCCCAAAUACCAAACAUUGCCUAUUUUUGAAAUUUUGUUUUGAAUAAUAAUAGGUGUAAUAUUUAAACGAUGUGUAUUUAUCUUAUUUGGAUACAAUACCUCAAUGGAUAAAUAUAUCUAAACUUAAUGCAUAGUAUAAUGAUAAAUGGAAUAAUAUAUAAUAGCUAUAUGGGUAGAACGAUAGAAUAAAAAAAUAUAGGAAUACUAUAAUGAUACAAAUGUAGUUGUAAUAAUAAUAACAAUAAUAUUAAUGAUCAAAUCAAAAUAUUAAUAAAAUAAAUAAGGUAAUCUUGAAAAUAAAAUAAAAUGGAAAAUGCAUGAUAAUAAAAAUAAUUAAACAUGUCAUGAAGAUAUCAAAAAUAAUAAAAGCAAUAAUAUAACAAAAAAAUAAAAAAAUAAAUGAAAUAGAAAAUGAAAUAAUAAUGACAAUAGAGCAAAAAUGUACAAGUAUGAACAAUAUAAAUUUUAAAAUAAAAAGCAAGACAAUUAUAAAUAAAUGAAUAAAUAAGUAAAUAAUAAUAAUAAAAAGAAAAAUUCAUGAAAAGAUGAAAUUGCAAUAGAUAAAUAAAUAAGUAAACAAUAAUAAAAUAAAAUAAAAAUUCAUGAAAAGGCUGAAAUUCACUAAAUAGAGGAUUUAAUUGAAAUUUAAAGGAAACUAGGGGUUUAAAUAGCAAAUAAUAAAAAAUAGGCCAAUAAGGGUUAAAAUUUAAUGCGCUAAAAAAGGACAGGGACUGAAAAGGGAAAUAUCCCUUGUCCUUAUACGCAUCGUUUCUCAUGUUACCAAAAUAAAACAGAAAUAAAAUUAUAAGGUGAAAUUUGUAAAUAUGUAAAAUAGAUAGGACUGGAUUGAAAAACAAAUAAGUGGCGGAAGGGUCGAAACCGCAAAUAACCCAUGGAUCGCAAAACGCGCGGAUCCUAUUAAAGGGAGGGUCGGACUUCGGGUUUGCCCCAAAACGACGUAUUUUCAGGGCUUCUGGACUCUUCCGAAACAGCGUCGUUUGGUGUUAGCUAUAUAAGUUAAGAUACCAACAAAAAAAUCAUUUUAUAACCAGAUCUAAAAAAAAAUGAAUCCUUUCUUUGUUUUUUCUCUCUGGGCAUAGCCUAGAAUCUGGCCAUAGGGUCUGGCGAGCCUCCGCCGUGGCCGAAAAAAAAACUUUCUCUGUCCUUUUUUUUUAGGUUUAAAACCCUAAAAACCAAAUUUUUUUAAAUCAAAAGAAGAAAAAGAAAACAAAAAGAGUAACUUUCGGCCUUGCCGUUUUUAGGAAUCCUCGCAGAACCCUAAUGGGUUUUGAGGUGUUCAAUUGUCGAAGAUAGCCCUCGACGACGACAGGUAAGAAUUUUUUUUCUUAUUUAUUGUUUUCUUAUUAAAUAAAAAAUAAACUAACUACCUUUGAUUUUGAUUUCUGCUGUUUUAAAACUUUUCUAGUUUUUUUUGUAUUUCUCUCUGUAAAAAAAAUACAUUGAAAAUUUCGUGGCUUUUAUAGCCAAUAUUACACUGUUUAUUUCUCUGUUUGUUACCACUGUUUGCUUUCAUUUCUGCUAUUGUUUUUGCUGUCAUUGUUUCUGUCCUUCUUUCAUCUUUUGGCAGGUCCCGCGCUAGGUCAACAGAGGGGAGAAGGGCUUUUUGGUGAAAAGGCGACAGACCUUGGGAAGAGGAGCCUCGAGACGGGGCGCGCUGAUGUGGCAUGGAGGCAGCAGCGCAUUAAGGUUUCUACUUCUGCUAAAGUUGUUUAGGCUAUGGCCUAUUGGGCUUAGGGUUUUUGUUUGUUUUGGACCUAUAAACUUUGGCCUUAUAUAUCUUUAACUGGGCUGUUUAAAAUUUUGUUUUAUUUUGGGUUUUAUUUGAUUUAGUAGGCCGGGCAAAAAUGGACCAUUACAGUAAAGUUUGAACCCGUAACCUCAAACACACAAUCAAGUCAUUUAACCACUAAAGCAAAUACUUAAUUCUGAUAAAAUUUAACAAAUCAAAUAUUUAAAUUUUGAGGGCGUUACAAAUAGGAAAAAUGCUACAAACAAUUAAAUCUAAGAAGAAUGGUAAGGGUUGUUUGAAAGGUCUUAAAUUGGACAUUAGGAAAGUGAAGGUUCAUAUGGCUAGUUUGUAGAAAAAAAUGAAAGAACAACGAAAGACACAACCGAAAGUAAACUACAAACGCAUAAAUUGUUUAUGUAGUUUGGACUUAACCUGUAUAUGAGGAGAUUUGCUCAAUAAACCUCUCUUGUAAUGAUCCAAUUUUAGGCAGUAUCGAAAAAUACGAUUUCAGAACCUCAUUUUCGUAAACUGAGAAUAUAAAGGUAAAAUAUGAAUAUUUGCGGAGUUAGUAUAAAAAUAUAUUGAAGAUUAGUUAGUAAUUUAACUGAGAAAAUAGUUAAUUAACGCAUAGGGACUAAAAUUGCAAAACUCCAAUCGCCAUUGAGUUUUAAUUUGGAAAAUGAUUGGGGACCUAGAUAGUAAUUAUCCAAAUGAUCAAAAUAAAUAUUUAACCAAUUUUAAAUAUAAGUUUGUAAAGAAUGAUGUUGAUUCCCACUUAGCCUUGGUUUAUCAUUAUAUAUAUAAAAGCCUUAAUUAAAUUAACUAGGCAUGAUAUAAAUUGAUAAAUGAUAAUGUGAUGCGAAUUUAUGAUGGAAAUGAUAUGAGAUUAUGAUAUGUGAAUUGAUUUAUAACGUGUAAUUGAAACAUUGAUUACCCUAUUAACUCUUCGGGUAGAGUCGGAUAUAGUUGACAUGCCAUAGGGUCACGGGUGUAAUGAUAAAAAGUCAUCGUUGUCGAGCAACCCGAGAUGACAAAGUAAAGAGAUUGUGAAAGUCAUCAUUGCCCAGGAACCUUGGGUGGUAGUAUGUACAUGUUUUAAUAGUCAUCGUUUAAGAGGAACCCAAGAUGACAGAAAAAUAGAUCUGUAUAUCCACCUUGAGUCCGUGUCUGGUUAAUAGGGAUUCUAAACAUGAACUUGAUAAAUGACAUUUGAAUGAAAUAAUUAUAUGAAAUUGUACUAUAUGUGCAUAUAUGUGAAAUGUGACUAAAUAUAAUAUGUGAAAGAUCAUGCAAAUUGAUUUAUUACAAGCCCUGAGGAUAAGUAUGGAAAUGGAACGAAUCAAUAGAUUCGAGUAUGAAAUGAGAUAAAGAAAUGAGAUUGUGUUAUAUAUGAGCAUAUGAUAUGAUGGUAGAAUGUGUAUGAUCAUAUUUAUAAAUGAAUGUGAUAUGUUACAAUAGAUUGGCAUAAAAAAUUGAUACAUGAGACAUAUAUAUUGGUUGAUGAUGUUGGAAGUUAAAUUAUGUUUUGAUUGCAUUAUGUUUUGACAUGCUAUUUGAAAUGUAAUAUUGUCUUAAAUCAUGAAAGUACCACUGAGUUUUAUCGCUUAACAUAUGGUUUAUUUAUUUCGUGUGCAUGUAUUUGUAAAUCUUGAAGACUCAAGGAGUGAUCCAACAUCCAAUCUAAGACAUUGAGAGUAUGCAUGUUUGUUUAAUUGGUUGAAAUAGGCAAAUAACUAUUUGGGCAAGUUGUUGUGAGUUAAUGUUAAUGGUCAUUUUGAAAAUAGUAAGUGACGUCGUGAUGAGAAAUCGAUAGUGAGUGACGUCGUAACCAUGGACCUCCGAAGCCGAGACGUCAACUCGGUAAUUUUAAUAUUUUACAAUUUAGUCCUUAAUCGACCUCAUGUUAUCAAAAGAGCUUUCAUAAGCUGGUUUAAACCCCAAAAUUAUUUAUGUAACAUGUCAUGAUCACAUAUUGAAUAUUAUAGUAUGUAUAAACGAUUGAAUUAAGAUUUUAGUUGCUUCGACAAUGAAUGUGGUAUCCUGUAAUUCAUACCCGACAAUCGGAUCAAAUAUGAAGUGUUACAUCUCUGCUAUAAUCUUCACUAUAAUCUUCACAGCAUAAAGAACAGUGAUUUAAACUUAGAUCUUUUCUCUCAAUAUACAGCCUCACCUUUGUAUGAUGUAUCCUAGGUUCUAACAUCUUGCUUUGCAAUAGUUAGCAAGUGUUUACAUUAACUUCUAAAAAUAAUACAUUUCUCACAAAGCAAAAAUAGUUACUCAAAUGAACAAAUCUCUGAAUAUGAAUUCACUCCAGAAAAGUCUACCCGAAAAUAAUAUUGUUUCUCCGUAUAAGUAGCCCGUGAUGGGGUUAUCUCAUCUUUUGAAUUUGGGUAUCUUCUUCAAUUUUAAGCGUCACCCCUUUUAUCUUAUGUUAUCAAAUAAGUCUACAAACAGGCUAGGACUCUUAUCUUCUUCAUUUAAAAAUCACACAUAGAGUCCUGUAAAGUCGAUCUUGAAACAACCUUAAAACGGUGUUGCUGAUUUACAUGUAUAAAACUGAAUACAAACAAAGUAAAAAACUGCCAACUAGAAUGCAGGUUGUGGCAAAAGUUAUGGUUCAAAAUGUGGUCACAAGGUAUACACCAACUUACUCCACAAACUUGUUUCCUAACACAAAGCUUAUGAUAGAGUCAACUGCAAUUUCAUUGCUGUUGUACUUGAAAAGUUAAAUGCAGUAAUGCAUAGAUUAGACUUAAAAUGCAAUGCAUCACAACAGUCUCUUGCCAACUACUACCGAAUGGAGAUUGAGUAGCAUUUUAAACCAUGUAGAGGCCAGAGACAAGGACACCUCAUCUCACCGUACAUUUUGGUGUUGUGUCAAACUGUUUUGUCGGCAACAUUGUACAAGGUAGAGGACGAAGAUUCUAUCAAAGGAAUUAAAAUGGCAAGGGAGGCACCUUCUACCAAUCAUCUUCUUUUUGUUUCUUAGGGCGAAUGUCCGCUCUUUCAGGGCAAUUAAGUCUACUCUUAAUUUUUCUGUGGGCUGUCAGGAUAAAUGGUUAACUUGGAAAAAUCAGAACUUUUUAUUAAUCCAUCCAUCCGUAGAGCAGGGUAAAAGAAGAUGGUUGAUGGGAAUCUUACGCGUCAGAAGGGUUGAGAAUCCUAGGAAGUAUUUGGGGGUUAAUGUCUGCGAGAUCAGUGAUAAAAGAGCUAUUCUAAAACAUCAUUGACAAGAUUCAAGCUAAAGUGGCACAUUGAAAGGCGAAGUGUCUUUCAUAACGAGGUAGACUCACCUCAUUAAAUCCACUUUCUUUACAUGUUCUGUUUUCAAAGCCUGUCGCUACAUUUGUGAUAAGAUUGACCAGAUUUGAGAGCUUUCUAGUGGAGUCAUGAUACAUGCAUAAGGAAACUGCAUUCGUGUAAUUAGACUACAAUCUGUAGGCCUAAAGUUGAAGGAGGUCUAGGUAUUAGACAGAUUGCUUUGAUGAAUAAAGCACUGUUAGCAAAACAGGUGUGGCGUCUCACAACCAACCCCAAUCUACUAAUCACCAAGGUUUUCAAAGCAAAAUAGUGCAAAAAUAAAGAAACCCUUGAGGCAUCUGACUCGUGGAUUUGGAAAGACAUUCUAAAAAGGAGACAAGUGUGUAAGUUAGGAACGAUAUCCAACUUUGGAGUGGGGAUUCUUGUUAAUUAUUGGAGAGAUAACAAUAUUAUUUUUCGUGAAAGAUAUAACACCAUGAUGGCCGUAAAAGAUUUGCUGAAGAACAAGGGUAUAUGAUUGAGAUGAUCUAAGAAUUAGAACAAUGUUGAGGAAGUGACCUGAAAGGAGAUUAUCUGAUAUUGCAAUUGUCUUUGCAGGUAGGUAAACAAUUGGAGAAAGGAAUGUGGCUAAUGAAGGAGCUGUGUUUGAAUCUCCAACAUUUACAACUUCAUUUAUUCUUAAAUUACAAAAUUUUAUAUACUAUGUUCAUAUGAUCUGACAUGAAUAUAUAUUAAGUAUCUACUAUGUUUAAAUUUGGUAGUUAGUUUUCUUAUUUUAAUUUGGCAUCAUUUGAUAUCUCUAUCCUUAUAAUAUCAUUAUUUAGUUAAAAUAGUUAACACUAUUAAUUGUUGAGGUUUAAAUUUUUUUUUCUUAAAAACAUCUAUUUCAACACGAAAAAGAAUACAUAUCAAACAUAAUAAAUUAAAAUGAGUAUUUUUAAGAAAAAUUUGCAUAGACAUUUAAUCGAAAUAGUUUAAUAAUAUUAUUAUUUAUUUGAACUAACUAAUAAGUUAAAUAAUAAAAAGACCAAGUUAAAUAAUAAUAAGUUAAAUUUCAAAUUUAAAUACAAGAAAAGGAUGAAAACCAGAAUUUGACCUUAAAAUUACAAUAUCAAAUAUUAAUAUUUUCUUAGUGUCUGCAGCUUUCUUCAAGGGCCUAAUAAACCUGGGCUAGGUUUUUUGGUUCACAAUCAUGUGUCAAUGCAUUAAGGUUCUUCAAUUUUGUAGUUACGGGUUUGGACUUUCGGCUCACAAUUACUAAAGUGGAAGUCCCACGAAGCCUAAUAUUAUUUUUAGGAUCGAAAUUGAGUUUUGUAAUUUUUUAGAGCAUUUUCAUCACUAUAUUAAUUCUUAUCUUAUUUUUAAAGAAUUAAAUUAAAAUUUUGUUAUUCUAGUUUAGGGAAGAGGAGAAGCUUGGAGGCUUGUAGUAGCCUUGGCUCUCCUAAAGAUGAAAAAUUUUAAUUCAAUCCCUUUAGAAAUCAUAAAAUUACAUAUUAAUCUAUGAUAAAAUUGUUCUUUAACCUCUUUAAAUAUAAAAAAAAAAUCUAUUUAGCUCCUUAAAAAAUAAUAGAAUUAUAAGUUAAUACACCAUAAAGUUAACAAGGUAUAAUAUUUCUAAUAGUUUUUUUGGUUUUUUCCAUGUCAAUUUUACUAUUUAUAUUUGGGGAUUAUGAUUACCCCUCUUAACAAUAUCAUAUCAAAUAAUCAAAUUUAUAUUCUCCGUUAAAAAUACAAUGUGCCUGACUAUUGUUUAUCAUAGAAAUACAAGUUCUGUAAAUGUGGUUAAUGAAUUUUGUUGAGGAAUUAUUUCAUAUAUUUUCAAUGAAGUUUGAGGAGUUUAUAAACAAAAUUAGUAAAAUCACAUUCAUUUGAAAAUUUUGUAUUUGAAAUUCUUUUAGGUAUUAAAGAAAAAAUUUGGAUUUGGAUUUUGCAUAUCCAAUAUCAGUUUUAUAUAGCGUAAACUUAAAAUUGCCCAUAUGAUUUGAGUUUGUAAUUUUGUGGACCAAUUUAAUUUCACUAGAAAUCCCCCAAAAUUAGCACUUUCAUUUUAAAUUUGUCCCUAAAUUUUAAAACAUUUUAAUUACAUCUUUAAAUUAUUAAUGUAAUAUUAAUAAGGUCUUUCCGUUACUAAAAUCAUUAAUUUAAUUAUUAAAUGAGACAUCAAAUCUUAUGUGAUAUAAUUUAAAAUGAAAAUUUUAAAGCAAAAUAAAUAUUGUAAAAAUCUUGGUUUUGAAAUUUUUUAAACUUUUACAAAAACUGCCAUUCACUUUCUCUUUUUUCAGUUUUACUUUAUUUUUAGUUUUUAGUUUUAAAAAUUAUGCAAUAACAUUUUAUUUUUCUUUAAAAUUUUCAUUUUAAAUUGUGUCACAUAAAAUUUUACGUGUCAUUUAGUGGUUAAAAUUAACUGUUUCAAUAAUGGAAGGACCUUAUUGAUUUAACAUCGAUAGUUUAGAGAUGUAAUUAGACUAUUUUAAAAUUUGGGAACCUAUUUAGAAUGAAGAUCAUAAUUUAGAGGCGUUUAAUGCAAUUAACUCAUCUUUUAAUACAAUUCUCAGUGAUACUAAAAAAUCCUUCGAAAUCUUGAAUAGAAGAAUAAUAUAUGUUUGAGUUUGUUUGAACCCACGUUUUUGUAGUUAUUACAAUAACAAUAUCCGUUGAACUAAAACUGAAUCGAAUUUGUGAAUUAACUUAAAAUUUUGAGAAUAAAAAUACAAAAACUAGUUAAUUGUAUGCAACUUAAAUGAUAAUUUUGUAUUAAUCAGAUGAUUGGUGAAUUAAAUCAAAAUCAAACAUACAUGGGAUAUAAAAUAUGCUAUCAAAAUCAAGCAUAUAUGUGAUCUAUAUCACAAUCACCAAUAUAUGUGAUCAAAAUAUGCUAUCAAAAUCAAGCAUAUAUGUGAUCCAUAUCACAAUCACCAAUAUAUGUGAUCAAAAUCACAAUCACAAUCACCAAUAUAUGAUGACUCAGCUGGACUAUGAGAUUGAUAUUUUAAAAGAAAAAGGAGUAGAUUACAUCUGGCUAGGUUUUUUUUUUUUUUUAACUUUUUGAAAGAUUUUUGAAGAAUAUUGGUGCAUGCAAUAAACCAUAGAUAAUUAUUGGACAUGAACUGCUGGUCCAUCUCUUCGCCUCUCUUUAUUCCAUUAUCAAGGCUUUGUCCUCGUAUCUUACCUCCAGUGAGGAAAGAGGAGAAAAAAAUUUGAGAAGGGCUAAUUACGAUAUAUAUUCUUAUGAGAAUUAAGAUAUAAUUUUAUCGUUACAUUGAUUAUAUUUUUACAAUUUUUAAAAAAAUUAAAUUGAAAUUUUAUUAUUUUUUAGGCCAAAUUAUAAAUUCAGCAUGAAAUAAUUCAUAAAUUUAUAAAAUCUAAAACAAAAAAUUUCAAUUUUGGGUACACCAAGGCCCCUGCUUACCUCAAGGAUAAAAUUGAUAAAAUUGAAGUUGUGAAAAUUUCGAGAAUCUUACCUUUUGUGUAAUUUUCUUUAGAUUUAUUUUGAUUAAUUAAUAUUUAUAAUAAUUGAUUGUAUAUAAUUUAGACUUAAUCAAAAUAAAAUAAGAUAAAAAUGUUAAAAUGUGCUAUUUUUCUCAAAUUUAGAAUUUAGUCUCUUUAUUUUUUGGAUUUCAAAAUUCAAGUCAAAUUUUUAACAUUAUUAUCAUUCUUCUUCUUCUUCUUUUGUUAAAUUAGUUAGUGUAACAUUUUAAAAUAAAAUAAAAAACUCAUUUAAUAGUAAUGUAAUUAAAAAAAUGAUGUUGUCGAAUUUAAUAAAAUAAACAAUGUUAACUGUUAGACCUAAAAUUUAAAAUCUAAAAAAUAUAUGGAUUAAUUUUAAAAAUAAAAAUAUAAAAUUAAAAUUUUAAAUUUACAAAGAAUAUGAAAUUUUUUAAUGAAAUUAAAAAUUAAAUGGUUGGAAGAAUUCUUCUGUUAUCUUUUUAGCUGGAUGUUAAUAGAUUAGCCGAUCAAAAUCUGACAUGUUGCACCAACGUCUCAAUUUCCUAAAAGGAAACCCGCCUUUGAAUCUUUCCACUUUUAGAUUUUUAGAUUUAAAUUUAAUCAUUUGAAUUUUUUGUAUCCAUUACUUCCCAAAUUUGAUUACUAUUAUUUACUUCUCUUUUUUACUUUUGGCCAUAUUUUUCUAUUAUUUUUCCCCUCCAUCUUUAAAUUUUUGUCAAAUUAUUUUUUAUUGGAAAAGUUUAUUGAAAUUUUUAAAAUUUUAAUAGCACUGACGUGACCUAAAAAAUAAAGAAUUAAAAUUAAAAUGAUAAAAGAGGUCAAUUUUAAAAGUUAUAUUUUUUUUUUGUAAAUUGAGUAUUUUCCCCCUAGUUAUAGAAAGGACCUUUGAAAGGUAUUUGAUCAAACAAAUUUGCCCAAAAUUUAACUUAAAAUAAAAAGUUUAGUAUCGGUUUACUCCGUAGAGACCAACAUGACUAAAGUUGUAAAGAUUGAAGAUUAAAUUUAUUAAUAUGCUUUAUAUAUAAAAAUAUAAAAAAAAUAAAUAUUUAACAGCAUAAUUUUAUCGAAACAACUAUUUUACUCUUUAACGUAUAAAAAUCAAUUUAUUUAUUUUUCAAAUAAAAAAAACUAAAAUACAAUUUAGAAUAUGAUGACUUCUACGAUACUUUUACCAUUAAAUGCUAUAUAUAAAAUAAAAGAUAAAAGUAAUAAAAUAAGGUUUAAAAUAAAGCAACAUUUAAUCCUUAAUCUAAUAAACUUUUUCAAAUUAAUCCUAAACUUUGUUUUUAAAUACAUAUUAAUCCAGCAACUUGAGAACUUCCCCGUCAAGGUAAAAAAGUACAUAAAGUGGAUGCGAGUUUAUGGUGUCCCUUUUCCAAAGGAACUUCUGUUGGAGAUUGUGCAUGACUGACAGCCAUAACUGGGAACUAGCUUCUGUUUCUUUUGGAAUCAAAGCUUUCUUUUGUUAUUUUUUUUACCUUGACCUCAUAUAUUCUUUUAGGAUAUAUCUAUGUAAAAAGCUUCGAAUAUGUGAAUGGUCAAUUUAUUUUUCCAAAUAUAUUGUUUUUUAUUGAUUUAUGGUAAAUUUAUUAAAUUAAUCCUUCUACCAUUAAAUAGAUCAAUUCAAUUUUUGUUUAUUAAAAAUAAUCAUUUUAGUCAUGUAAUUUUCGAAAUUGGUUAGUUUCACUUCCUAUAUUUUUUCAAUUUUAAAAUUUUAAUCCUAACUAAAACUAUAGUAGUUAAAUUCAUUGACUGAUUUUUUUUUCUAAGUGAUAUAUAGAAAUAGAAAGCUAACAUGAUGUUACAUACAUGAGCGAAUCUAAAAACCUUUUUAGGAGGGCCGAAAUUGAAUAAUAAAUUUUUGAGAUAUCAAAACAUAAUUUUAUAAUGUAUUAGUUUAUGAUGUCAUCAUUUUUCAAGGGAUUAAACAUAAUUUUCUUUAUUUUUUGGGACCAAAUUGUAAUUUUAUCAUAAAUUAAUUUUUAAUUUCAUUUUAUAGGAGAUUUAAAUAGCAAAUUUUUCAUUUGAAGGGUAGGGGGCAAGACCUUUGCCUGCCUACCUCCCUCAUAUUUGUUUCUAGUUUGAUAAUAUGUUUGCUGGAUAAGAUUUUAGAAAUAACACAACUCAGUAAAUUUAAUAAGUAUCGUUUGGCCAAAAUUGAAAUUUCACAAAUAAAAGAAUAGAAAAACUAAAAAUGACUAAAUUAAAAUGGAUGAACUAAAUCCAAAACUUACACAUAAUAUAGAGACUAAUAGAAAAUGUAACCAUUUGUUUGUCAUCAUUCUUUUUGUAAAAUUGGUGAUAAGAUGGACCCUCAAGGCGAAGCCUGAACAAAUUUUAGGGGGCAAAAUAAAAUUUUAAUUUUUUAUAGUCUAUAUCUUUAUAAUUUUUAAAGGAUUAAAUCAAUUUUUUAUAAAUUUUAAGGGGUCAAAGUAUAAUUUUACUUUUAUUAAUUUAAAAUUUUAAAAAAAAUUUAAGGAUGUAUAUAGAAAUUUUACAUUUUAAGAGGCAGGGGUUAAGACACCUGCCACCCACCCCCAAAAUCCGCCUCUGUGGACCCUCGCACCAACUUUGGGAUUUUUAGCUGGUUCCGAAAAUAAGAGAUCGACCACAAGAAAAAUACCCUAACAUUAUUAUAGUUCAUUCAUUUGAGUCACUAUCACUACUCUCAACAUUGUAAAGCAAAUUUGUAGUCCUCACAAAAAGUAUUGGGUCAAACCUGUUACUUCCUCAUCACCUUUUCCAUGGAAUUUGUAAGAUUAUUAGAUUUGGAUAUACUUAUCUUUUAGGGACCAACUUGAAUUUAUUAACCAAAUAUAUCUGUGAAUUGUGUGGAAUCCCAAUCAGCCCUUUUUUUAUCGAUUUUUUUAAUUACAUCUUUUUUUUGUGUGUGUAAGUUUGAAAAUUCAAAAAUUAAUAACUGACUAAAAUAAUCAAUAAAAUCAAAUCCAUAAUUAAAAUAAUCACCCAAAUCGAUUAAGUUGAUUUAGUUGAUUUUAACCGGAAAUUGUUCUCUCGUAAAAAUGUCAAUUGAAUUUAGAUAAGUAUAUUCUCAAUUAGGUGUUUGUUCAGUUGGCACCUAAUAUCUUCCAUAUUAGAAAUUAAAGAAUUAUGAAUAGUCUAAAAGAAAUUCUUAGAUUAAGAUCUUGUUUGAUAAAGUAUUAUAAAUCAAUUGAAAAAAUUAGUAUUUUUAAUUAUUUAAUUUUUUACACGUGUUAGAUCAUUCAAAAUAAAAAAAAAUCUCAUAAUUCUUUUACUAAAAAAGUAUGAAGAUGAUAAUACUUAUUGAAGAAUAUUUUCAAUUAAUUUAUUUUAAUAUAAUAUUAUCCUAUAAAAAAUUAUGUCUAGAAUUAAUUUUUUAUUUAAAAUAAAUAUAUAAUAUCUUAUAUAUAUUUAAAAAUCGAAAAUGCAACACUACUUUAUUAAAACCUAAAAUCUAUAAAAUUCUGAAAUUAUCCUAAUAUAAAAUAUUUUCAUAAAUUGGACCACCGAAUCAAGCUGGCAUAGGCAGCAUCAAAAAGUCAAGAUAUAGUCUUGCCAGCACACUCUUCUAUUUUACAUGUUCCUAUUUAUAUAUUUUUUAAUAUUCUUUUGAAGUUUGGGAAAUUCUUAUUUAGUUUUUUCAGAAAUUUUUAAAAUAAUUAAAUAAUUUUCUUUUUCAAAAUUUUAAAAUUAAAUCAAUCGCGAUUCGACUUAUUUAAUCACUUUCAAAAAUUACAGUUUAAUACUUUUAAAUAACCAAUUUAUUAAAUUUUAAAAUAAUAUUUACACCUAAAAUAUUAAUGGUUAUGAUCUUGCCAUAAAUUACAUCGAUAGUUACCCAAUUAUUGAUAAGUUUAUUUUUUAUCAUUCUAUUAUGAAAAAUUAUAAAAUAAUCACUCAACUAUCCGAUUUUUUCUUUUUUUGUCAUCAACUUUUAAUGACUAACUAAAAGAUAACAGAACAGUUUUUAAAUUUGAAAUUAUAACAACUUUAACCCUCAACAUUUAAACAUUAUAUCAAAUAAGUUUUUAUUCUAAAAAGUGUACCCCUCAACAUUUUCUUUGAAAGAAAAAGCCAUUUAGCAACUUCAUAAAUUCAUAGAGUCUACAAUUACAGGACCAUGUGGCCCAUAGGGGUAGUCCACACCAAACCGAUUUCAUCAACCACAUUUGCACAUUGCGUAAUUUAAUUUUUUUUUAUAGUUUUACUUUUCUAUAUGACCCUUACACUUAAAAAGAUACAAAAAAUUAUCAGCUAAAUUUGAUUGAAUAUAUAUCAAAAAUGAAAACACCCAAAAGUCUAAGAUAGUAAUUUUCAUAUUUUCUCAUUUUCUUAAAAUUAACUCUCAAUGUCACAAAUAAAAUCAAAACUACAAAAAAAAUCAAAUUACAUGAUGUGUAAAUGUUGAUGGUUAAUUUUUUCAGAAUAAAGAUUCCUAUUAGACCAAUUUUUCCAAAACAACCAGUGACCAAAAUGUUAGAUUUAUAAAAUAAAUCUAAAAUAAAACUUAAUAAACUAGGAUCUGUCAUGUCAAAUCAUCAAGAAUAAAUUAAGAACAAAAAUAGAUGCGGAAGCGUACCUAAAUCCAUGGAUUCCUUGAAAUUUUCUGAAUCUUGGAGAUUUGAUCUUCCAAAUUAGCACACAAGAAAUUCAGAGAAUAUCUGCUCUCUCUUUCCUAAUGAUGGGAUAUUAGAAAAGAUAUCUUGUGUGUAAUUUGGGGACCAUAAUCCUAAUAUUUAUAACCUUGGUAUAUUAGUUCUAAUCAAAUUCUAAUUAGCCCAUCAUUAAUUAGAAUUUAUUAGAAUAGUGUCUACACAUAUUUGACCUAUGCUUUAUUUAAUAAUUAAAAGCCUAAUAAAAUUCUAACCAAAUUAGAUCACUUUUAAUUUGGGCUAACCUAUCAUGAUAGUAAAUAAUAUGUAAUUAUCCUUAUUAUAUAUGUGAUGUCCAAAUUUUCCAACAAUCUCCCACUUGGACCACAUAUAUAUACUAAUUACUUUAUAAUUACAUGCCAUUAUAUAACCUUAUGAGCUCAAAAUUUUACUAUCAUAUCCAAAAGGCAUUCCGAACAAUCUCGUCCAUUAAUUAUGUUAACAUAGAACCAAUGCGACUUUCGUUACAAAUAUCAUAACUAAAUCCAUCCAUGAUUACGUAUAUUAACACAACCAAAUGACAUAGAUCAAGCAUGGAUGUGUAGCAUGGAAAUUUCAUGCAAUAUGAUCUAAACAUGUCUAUUUCCAAUUGGUCCUCUUUAAACUUAAGUGAGAUCAAUUUCAAAAUAAUAAACAGAGUGAAUAAACUGAAUACUUCAUUUCUGAUCAGAAGAUAACCAAAUACAUAAAUUUCUGAAAUAUAAACUCCCACUAAAUCAUGAUAUCCUCAAACAAUGUAACACCCAUGUGAACAGUGUGGUCAUGAAAGACCUUGGGUGGUAAACCUUUUGUGAGCGGAUUCGCUAUCAUGGAGUUUGUCCCAAUGUGCUCUAUGAAUAUUUGACCAUUUUGCACUCUUUCUCUUACAACUAGGAACUUUAUGUCAAUAUGCUUUGUCUUUCAUCCUGUUGUUAUUGGAAUACAGCACUGCUGACUUAUUAUCACAAAAUAAUUUGAGUAGUCUUUCUACAUUCUCCAAAAUACGCAGCCCUGUAACAAAUUUCCGCAACCAUAUUCCAUGGUUUGAUGCCUCAUAACAUGAUACAAACUCUGCUGCCAUAGUGGACGAAGCUACAAGUGUAUGUUUGACACUUUUCCAAGAUAUAGCUCCUUCGACUAACAGGUAAAUAUAACCUGAUGUAGAUUUCCUACUAUCUUGGCAUCUAGCAUUUGAAUCAGAAUACCCUACGACUUUUAAAAGAUCUGAUCUCUUAUAAGUAAGUAUGUAAUCUUUUAUUCUCUGAAGAUAUCUCAUAACCCUUUUGACUGCUAUCCAAUGGUCUAUACCAAGGUUGCUUAAAUAUCUGCCUAACAUCUCAACAAUGUACGCAAUGUCCGGACACGUACAUACUUGAACAUACAUUAAACUCCCAACAGCUGAUGCAUAAGGAAUCUUUUGUAUUUCCUGAAUUUCAAGGUUACUUUUAGGGCAUUGAGUAAGACUAAAUUUGUCUCCUUUAGCGAUAGGGGUGUCACCUGGUCUACAACUCUGCAUACCAAACCUUUUGAGUACUUUAUCAAUAUAGUUAUUUUGUAAUAAUCCAAGAAUACCUCUAGAUUGAUCUCGAUGUAUCUGAAUUCCUAAAACUAAAGAGGCAUCCCCAAGAUCUUUCAUCUCAAAAUGCUUGGAUAAAAACCUCUUGGUUUCGUGCAAUAAGCCUAUAUCAUUAGUGGCAAGCAAAAUGUCAUCAACAUAUAGAACCGGAAAUAUGUACUUACUCUCAUUGAAUUUGUGAUACACACAAUAAUCAACAAUAUUCAUCUCAAAACCAAACGAAACAAUUAUUUGAUGAAACUUGUAGUACCAUUGACGAGAAGCUUGUUUGAGUCCAUAGAUGUAUUUUGUCAAUUUGCAAACCAUAUUCUUUGAGUCUUUCGACUCAAAACUUUCUGGUUGCACCAUAUAAACUAUUUCUUCAAUGCCUCCAUUAAGAAACUCAGUCUUAACAUCCAUCUGAUGUAACUCAAGAUCAAAAUGAGCAACAAGCGCCAUGAUUAUUCUGAAGGAGCCUUUCGAUGAAAUUGGAGAGAAAGUUUAUGUAAAAUCAAUACCUUCUUUCUGAGUAUAUCCUUUAGCUACAAGAUGCGCCUUAUACCUCUCCACAUUACCAUUUGCAUCACUCUUGCUUUUAAAUAUCCAUUUACAACCAAUUGGUUUUGCACCUUCAGGUAAUGGGACAAGUUCCUAAACUUUAUUGUCUUGCAUAGAUUCAUACUCAUCUUUCAUGGCAUCAAUCAAUUUUUGAGAAUUAAAACUUUUCAUAGUUUGAUGAAAGUUGAUUGGAUCAUCUUCUAUCAUUCCAUUAUCAUCCUCAUGUUCUUGGAGAAAUACAAUAUAAUCAUCUAGAAUAGCAUUUCUCCUUUCUCUUAUGGACUUCCUUAAUUACACUUGUUCUAGAGGUUGUUGAGUUUGUUCUUCUAGAACAAUUACCUCAUUUUGAAUGGGGAAUUGUUCAACAUUGUCUUGUAGAGGUUCUGGAUUCACUUCUUGAUCAAUGAUAGGUAUAAAAACUUGAACAUCGUCAAAAGUGAUAGUAGGAAUUGAGUUAGAAUCCAAUUCCCCCUCAAAAUCAAUGUCUCUAACCUUAUUUCUCCCCCCAAACUCAACAUCCUCAAAAAAUGUUAUAGUUCCUGUCUCAAAAAUAUUUCUUAUUAUGGGAUCAUAAAAUUUAUAGCCCCUAGAUCGCUCAGAAUAACCAAUAAAGUAGCUGCUUACUAUUUUGGAGUCUAAUUUCUUUUCAUGUAGCCUAUAAGGCCUUACCUCAGUUGGAUAUUCCCAAAUGUGAAAGUGCUUUAAACUAGGCUUUUUACCUGUCCAAAGCUCAUAAGGUGUUUUUGUAACUGUUUUAUUGGGUACUCUAUUCAGAAUAUAAGCUGUUGUUUUUAAUGCUUCUCCCUAGAGGGACUCAGGUAAGGUAGAAUGAGCAAUCAUGCUCCUUACUAUAUCUUUAAGAGUUUUAUUUCAUCUUUCAGCUACACCAUCCAUACUAGGUGAUCCUAGCAUGGUGUACUGUGGGACAAUACCGCAUUCCUCUAGGAAUUUCGCAAAUAGUUCUGGACAUUGUUCAUCUGAGCCAUCAUAUAUACUGUAGUAAUCACCACCACGAUCAAAUCUGACAUUUUUAAUCCUUUUGUUGAGUUGAUUCUCAACUUCAGCUUUAUAAGUUUUGAACAUGUCCAAAGACUGAGAUUUCUCAUUAAUGAGAUAUAGGUACCCAUAACGUGAGUAAUCGUCUAUGAAUGUUAUAAAAUAUUGUUGACCAUUCUAGGAUGUCGUAGGAAAUGGCUCACAGAUAUCUGUAUGAAUUAAUUCUAAGAUGUCUGAAGAUCUGUUUGCACCCAAUCUCUUGGUUUUGGUCUGUUUUCCUUUAAUACAAACGGCACAGACAUCAAAGUCUGUGAAGUCAAGGGACUCUAAAAUACUAUUAGACACAAGGCGUUCAACUUUAACUUUUGAGAUAUGACCCAAGCGUCUAUGCCAUAAUGAUGCUGAAUUUUCCUUAUUUAAUUUGCGUUUAAUACCAUGUGAUUCCACAUGCAAGGUUUCAUUAUAGGAUGCAACUGUUUCUAGCAAAUAAAGGUUGUUAUAGGUAUUUAAAUAACCAGUUCCAAUAACAUUUGAAUUUAAAGACAAAUUAAAUUGAUUGUUUCCAAAUGAACAAUAAUAUCCAAAUUUGUCCAACGAAGAAACAGAAACUAAAUUCCAUCUAAAUGACGGUACAACAAAAGUGUCUUUUAAAUCCAAAUAAAAACCAGUUCCUAAUAGCAACCUAAAAUGCCCAAUUGCUUCCACUUCUACCGAUUUUCCAUCCCCCACAAAGAUGUGUCUUUCAACCUCACUUGGCUUUCAGUAACUCAAGCAACCCUGCAUAGAAACACUUAUGUGAGUAGUAGCACCAGAAUCUAUCCACCAAGUGUUUCUAGGUACUGAAGCUAAAUUAAUCUCAGAACAGACCAAAUUAAAAAUUAUACAUUUCUUUACACGAUGAUAUUUGGUACAAUCUUUCUUUACGUGUCCAGACUUAUUACAAAAGAAAAAACUCUUUGUAGCUUGUUGUUGUUUCUUUUGAGCUGGACCCUUAGCAGCUUCAUUCUGAUAUUUUUUUUCCUUGCCCUUCUCCUUACGGGUAUUGGCCAAAUGAGUACUUUCAGACUUAUCAAGCUUCAACCUUUCUUCCUCUUGCACACAAUGAGAAAUGAGAUCAUUUUGGGUCCAUUUCUCCUUUUGACAAUUAUAACUAAUUUUAAAUUGGUUAAACUGUGUAGGAAGCGAUAUCAAAACCAUAAGAACAAGCAAUUCCUCAAAAAGCUCGAUCUUAAGUUCCUUAAGUCUUGAAGCAGUAUGGAACAUCUCCAUAAUUUACUCCAUUACAUUUCCUUGACCUUUAUACUUCAUAGACAUCAAAGAAGUCAAAAGUGAUGUCAUCUCAACUUUAUCGUUUUUAGCAAAACAUUUCUCAAUUUUAUAAAGGAAACCUUUGGCCUGAGUAAUCUCUUCAGAUUUUGUGCCCCUAAAGGCUUCUGGAAUGCUGUGUUUCAUGAUCAUUAGACUCAUGCGAUUUGAACGAUCCUACCUCUCAAAGUCCCCCUUAAUAUUAGAGGUGCUUUCCGCAGUGAGAGGUACAGGUUGUUCUUCCCUUAGUGCAAGGUCUAUGUCCAUACAGCCAAGCACUAUAAGUAAGUGCCUUUUCCAUUCCUUAAAAUUAGUUUCAUUAAGCAUGGGUAUAGAAUUUAUACUAGCAGAUAUUGUGGCAGCAAAAAAUGAAUUAGCUGAAUAGAGAACAAAAAACAAGCUUAAAUCAAGAUUCAUAAGUAAACAAUAAAUUCAAGAUAAUGGCUAAUCCCAUCUUAAGAUACCAAACACUACAUUAAUAUCAAGUCUUUGGACAGUAAUAUUAAUAGUAAGCGGUACUCUUGUUGUAGCAAUCAAACAUUGAUAAUAAACUAUAUAAAACAAUGAAUUAAUCUUUGGACUAACUUAUUGCUCACAUAAAAUACCUUAUAAUUGUCACACAUUUAUCACCACAAAUGUCGUUGUAAUUCUGCCAAAUAUUAACUUACCUUUGGGUCAAUCAAUAAACGCAUGAAUUACAAAAACAUAUAACCAUCUUAACAUUUCAAAUAAACUAAUCUACACAAAAUAGGUCACUUUGGUGGCAUUUUGUUUCAAAUAAUUUAUUUAAAAUAUUAGACAUCCUUAAUUAAAAGUCAAAAUCUGAAUUUAUUUGUUCCAAAACAUUUACCUUAAUUUUAUCUUUCAAUCAAAUUAAAAGAUAUAUAUUUAUAUAAUUUUCCAAAACCACAUACAUUAAACCAAUCAAAGCAUGCAUAUAUUAUAUAUUUAUAUAUAUAAACAAAACAUAUAUAUGAAUCAAUUUCUAUAUAUACAUUUAUAUAUAUUUUUAAAUGUCAUAUAGGAUUAAAAUAAUGAUAAUCACAUGGCUUGCAAAUAUACAGGAACUGAAUCGCAAUAUUUUCAAAUAAAGCUUAAAAACGUAGGUAUCAAAUAAUAUUAUACAAAUAUUUUAAACUUUAUAAUUGAAUCUAUUAAUUCGAAAAUCACCCAAUUUUUUUUAAAAUAAGAAUUCAAGAUAAUAAAAAACUUUAAUAUAAAUCUUCAAAAAACAACAUAUAUAUUCGAAAUAUAAAACCCAUGAAAUUUUAUGAAUCAAUUAUUCAAAUGAAGAACCUGAACCAAUUCCCAAUGAUUUGAUAUGACGAGGUUUUGAUACCUCUUGUUAGAUUUAUAAAAUAAAUCUAAAAUAAAACUUAAUAAACCAGGAUCUAUCAUGUCAAAUCAUCAAGAAUAAAUCAAGAACAAAACUAGAUGAGGAAGCCUACCUGAAUCCAUGGAUUCUUUGAAACUUUCUGGAUCUUGGGGAUUUGAUCUUCCAAAUUAGCACACAAGAAAUUCAGAGAAUAUCUGCUUUCUCUUUCCUAAUGAUGGGAUAUUAAUAAAAAAGAUAUAUUGUGUAUAAUUUGGGGACCAUAACCUUAAUAUUUAUAACAUUGGUAUAUUAGUUCUAAUCAAAUUUUAAUUAGCCCAUCAUUAGUUAGAAUUUGAUUAGAAGAGUAUCUACACAUAUUUGACCUAUACUUUAUUUAAUAAUUAAAAGCUCAAUAAAAGUCUAACCAAAUUAGAUCACUUUUAAUUUAGGCUAAUCUAUCAUGAUAGUAAAUAAUAACAUGUAAUUAUUCUUAUUAUAUAUGUGAUAUCUAAAUUUUCCGACACAAAAAAAAAGUUGAAUAGUUAAGUGGUUAUUUUGUAAUUUUUAUAGCUUAAUAACUAAAAAAAAGUGUAAUUUACCUAAAGGAAAAAGAACCUUUCACUUUACUGCUUUCUAGAACCAGAUAUUUUUCUAAUUGGCUGUCAAAAUAAAACAGAGAAUGAAUCCGGAUAUUUCGCCUAUAUAUGUUCUUUACUAUUAACCCAAGGUUUUCACAAAUAUAUAUAUAUAUACAUAUAUACAUACAUGUUUUACAACAUAUUGUUUCCAGCAAUGAAUCCAAACUCUGUGGAGCUUAGCUUGAGUUUUAAGCCAUUAUAUGUGCCUAAAUCUUUAAGCAGCUUGUUCUUAGAUUUAUCAAAAAUUGAUAAUCAGUAUUAUAAGUUAUCUGUGUUGAGUGAUUAUAUUUGCAAGCUUGAAGAAGAGUUAGCUAGGGUUCAGCCUUUAAAACAUCUUCCUCAAUGCACUCUUCUUCUAAUGGAGGGUAAGUAUAAUCUAUAAUUCAUGUUUAAUUAUUAAUUAUUAAUUCAAAGAUAUAUGUUUUCUUCUAUGUCAUGAUUACAUGAUUGUUUUUUGAAAUGUAUAGCAAUCGAAACAUUGAAAGUGGAAUUCACAAACAUCAAGAAUAAUCUGAAAAAUAAUGAGAAAGAAGGAGAAAGGGAAACCCAGAAAAUUAUUAGUACAUGCAGUGCUACAGAAGAACACCAUGGAAAUUCUCAGGUAAUGGAUAAAAGAAUUUAGCUUUCAAUGUAUGUAUGUAUGUAUGUAUGUAUGUAAAUAUAAGACUCUUUGCAGCCAUGCAAAGAGAAGGGAAACAACAUGGAAGGGUUAAUGAUGGCAUACAAGGAGAAUAGUACUUGGAAUUGUGUUGGAGCAUCAAGCAGUAGUGGAAAAGAAAAGGAAGUGGCAGCCAUUGAUGAAUAUUCAUGGAGAAAUGAUGAAACUUUUGAUUGUAAUUAUGAUCAUCAUCUUCAUCAACACCAUCACCUAAAGCCAUUGACACAACCCAUUUGGAAGAACAAUAGGAGGUGUUGGUCUUUUGAGCUUCAUUCAAGGUUUGUGGAGGCUUUGAAUAUGCUUGGAGGCAUUGAAGGUCAGAACUUAAAACAUCACAAAUAUAUAUAUAAGUGAAAAAAUUUAUGUUUAUUAAAAAUUUAUAUAAUAAUUAAAUGAACCUUUGGUUUGCUAUUGCAGGUUUAAAUUUUACUAUAAAUAUCCUUAUAAUAUUAUGAUUUAUUUUGAAAAAAAAUAUUUUUUUUAACAUAGAUCAGUUUGUGCAUGGAUGCAUGGGUUUCAUUGUUUUUUUUAAGUGAUUUGAAUAUUUUUCUUUUUUUUUUUUGGGAGAUAUAUCAAUUUGUGAGGAGUUAGGGGCUAGUAGGUGUCCGUUUUUCCUAAAAAGAUUUUCUUUUCAUUUAGAUUCUUUAUAAUUUAUAAAUUAGUAAUAGUAAAAUUAUAAUUUAUUCUUAAAAAUGAUAAAAAUUCUUUAAAAAUUAUAAAGAUAUAGAGUAUUAAAAUGAUAAAAUUAUAAUUUUAUUAUCGUAAAAAUAUAUAAUUUAUUCUGCCCAAAAAAAAAUUCUGACUCUGCCACUAUGUGUAAUUAUUCAAAACACGGGUGGUAGAAAAUUUUAGCUUUACAGCUGGAAUCGAGAAUUUGUUACAUGUCCUAAUUAUUUAUUUUUUUAAAAAAAUUCAACAUAAUUUUAAGACACAUUGCAAAAUCUCAACAUCAAUUAUAAAAUUUAAAAUUUCCACCACCAGUCCUAAUAAUUUUGAUUUUCUUUUUCUUUUUUUUUCAUUUUGGGCAUGCAGUGGCUACUCCUAAGCAAAUCAGGGACUUGAUGCAAGUUGAGGGAUUGACAAUUGACCAAGUAAAAAGUCAUCUGCAGGUUAAAUUCAAUCUUUUAAGCUUUAAUUAAUAAUGCAUGCAUUAUAUUAUAUAUAGUUCCAAAAAAAAAAGAAAAAAAAGUAAAAUUUUAAGGCAAAAAUAAAAAUUAUAAUUACAAGUAAUUCAUAUAAUUAUAAUUAAACACAAAUGAAAUAAUCAUUAUAAUAACACAUUCGUAAAAUUAUGAUUAGAAUCAAAUCAUUGCAUGCACAUAUAAAAGGAUUGAUAAUCGGACUUAAAUCAAAAUAAAACUAAACAAAUAAAAUUGAAUUUAAAAUAAAAUCUACAUCUACAUAAAUACUUAUAAUUAAACUUAAACUUUUACUAACACUACCAAAAUAGUAAAAAUUAUAUGGGUACAAUUCUUUUGCUUAAAAAAAUGUUGUUCAAUAUAUGCAUCUACAAAUUAAGAUUUAUAAAUGCCAAAAUAAAUAACUCAAAACAUGAUCAUCUUUGAAAAGGUUUGUUUUUUCUCAACCAAACAUUUUAUUGAUUCAAAAUAUGAUACUUUUUUUAAUUACUUCAAACGGCUUUUUGCAUUUUAUCAAAGCUAUUAUUAUAUUUAAAUUUGUUAAUUGUUUUUGUAAACAAGAUAUUAGUUUUUACAUGCUAUCGAUUGAGUUUGAUCGAGUUUUUCAUUUUAAUUAAUUUUUAUAUUAUAAAAUUAUAUUUUCAUCCUUAUUAUAUAAAAAGAACUUAAACCAAAUUUAAAACUUAAAUUUUGAUGUUUGGUCUAACACAAACUUAACAUAAAACCUCAAACUUUAAUUUGAACUCUAUUUCAAACUUUUAAAUUUAAAUUCAGCUCGAUUAGAUUACACUUAAUUGAGUAAAGAGAGUCUAAGUGAACACUUACCUUCAAAUAUCAGCUAAUUAAAUCCAACAUUACAAUAAGUUAACAUAAUUAACAACAUUUAAAUUAUAACAAUGAUUUAGCAAAAACAUAAUGUUAAUUUGAAGUAUACCUAAUAAAUGUUGUACAUGCUCUCAUAGUGGAUGUUUUUCCGUAAACUAAUAGCUAAAUAUUUUUCAAUUAAAUUGUUGUUGAAACAAUUUACAAAAACAAAUUAUUGAAUGUGUAUGUCAAUUUUAUGAGGAGGAGAAAGUUGUAAGAAGGUAUCUCUCCGAAACAAUAACGUUAUUCUUGAGUCCAAAAGUGUAUGUACAUGUGCAAUGGAAAUUAAUCUAAGUUUUAUGUUCCCUACCUAAGAUUGCUCGGAUACACCAACUUUUCUUUGCAAAUUCAAAGUACAGAAACUUAUUGUCUUUCAAAAAUAUUAGAGAGGAUGCUUUAUAUGCUCUGUGAGGGAUGGUCCCUUGUGAGGCCAACCCCAUUAUGUGUAUGGGCUAGAAACCCUUUGUGGGGUUUUGUAAUUUUGGCUACUCCGAGCUAUUUAUAUUUGGUUGGACCUGGGUUUGUGCCGGUAAAAUAUUGGGUAUUAACAAUGAGUAUUAAGUCAGUUUGCAUUGGCAUAGUUAUUAAUAUAAGAGAAUGCGAGUGUCGAGUACGUUAAAAUAUAUUAUUCUCUUAUUUAAAAGUUAAGAAGGGAUUAUGGUUAAUUUUAAACAUUGUAUCAAAAAAUAAAAAUUAAAAAUCAUGAUGCUACACUCAUAUGAAAACAAGUAUAUAAAAAAACAAUAAAAAUUUAAUUUAAUAUUAAUAUAUAAUUUUCUACACCGUUCACAUUGCCAAUAAAUUAAAUGAUAUUACAUCAUUAAAAAUGAAAAUUAAGUUAAUAUAAUUUUAAAAGUUUUUGAUAAUUUAGUUUUAAAUUUUUAAUAUUAUAUUUCUGCAGAAUUUUGAAAUAUUAUAAUUUAGCAAAUAACUUUUUUAAUUAUGUAAUUUCAGAAAUAUAGACUUCAUAGUGGUAAGUUUCGAUUGGUAUAAAAGGCAAACAAGGACGGCUUGGCUCAGCUCGGCUCGGCUUCUUCGAGCCAAGGUGCAAUGGUGAUCUUUCAACGUCAGCAUAUUUAGGAGCUUUCCUAUGAUGUAAUUUAUUUUAAAAUAUGUAAUUUUUACAGAUUAAUAUAUAAUUAAUGAAAGGAAAUUAAAACUCUAAAGAUCCCAUUUUAUUUAUGAUCAAAUAAAUAUAUAUUUAAUGGAAAGAAAUAAAUUUUGGUAUAAUGUGUAAUUAUAUAUAUAAAUUUUAAUUUUGUGUAAUUUUAUACAUGACAUUUUGAUUUGAUUUAAUUUUUACAAACCACUAUCAUCAUUAUCAAUAUAAGAUCAUUUUACAUUACAUAUUACAUACACAAAUGAUUAUUCUUAUCUAAUAUAAAAAUAAGUUGAUGUAUUUGUUUCUUUAAGGGGGCAUUUGGUUCAUUGAAUGUAACAUUAUGGCCUAUAAGGUUACAUUCUGAAUGAGAUUAUGGUAUUUGAAUUGUCAUCAUUUCAACCAUCCCGUGAUAUCACAUUACGGAAUAGUGUCAAAAUGCUGUAAUAUAUGGUGUAAUCUCAUUACGACUCAUUUAUUAAGUUAUGUAGGAUUAUGGGUAGAAUCUAAGUUUUAAGGGAAAAAUACCCUAUUAUUUUAUUAUAUUAAUUAAUAUAAUUUCAGUAGUUAAAAUAGCAGUAGCUUAUGUAUUUUAUCUUUUGCUUGGUUAUUAGACAUUUUCAAAGAUUGGGUAGGGUACUUUCUCUUUCAUUUACUUUAAUUUUUUUACAUGUACAUGUGAAAUAAUUUUUCGAUCCCAUUUUACACAAUUUGUUGUAAUUUUGUGUGCGAAUUUUACAUGAGAAUUUCAGGAUCAAUGUUGUUUAGAAAUUAAUGGUUGUUCAAAUGAAUUUACAUCGUAAAAUCAAUGUGUAAUAAAAGUGAUUUUUUUUUAAAAAUUAUACUAUCUAUUAAAUGCUAUUCAUACAAUUAAACUUAAAAUUUAAUUGUUAUAUAAUUCUAAUAAUAAUUGAAUUAUGCUUAAGAGUUGUAUUAAAGUAAUAAUAUAAAAAGCUGAAAUGCUUACAAUUCUGCCUAUACAGUGUUUGUUAAUAAUAUCCCAAUCAAAAUCCAUUGGAGAUGGCUGAAACAUACCUGCUCAAAGUAGGGAGAUAUCGUUGAUGUUUUUUAUUCCCAACAAAGGAAGCAAAAGAGGGCGUAAGUUUGGAUUUGUGAGAUUUGGAUUGUUAAAUGAAGCGCAUCGAGCUGUUAAGAGAAUGAAUGGGAGACGUUUAUUUGGUAAUCGAUUGGGAGUCAACCUAACUAGAUAUGGUGGAACAACGUCGUACUGGAGAAAGAUUACGGAGGAUCGCAGUUCACCUACUGAACAGAGAAUUGUUAAUGCUGCUGCAGCUCAGAAUAUUAAAAAAUGUUACAGGGAGGUGCUCCGUUCCAUGAAUAAGACGAUCUGGAGUCAAGAGGGAGAUUUACAAGUGGAGAUGACAGGUACGGAAAUUUUUCAUGACGAGAUCAAAUUCGACGCCAUCAUUGAGGCGUAAGUCUUGUGAGUUGCAUGUAAAUGAGAACACACUCUUAACACUACAGACAAGUGUUGUUGGCAAAGCGAGAGGUGUAUUUGGGGAGCGAAUGGCUUCAAGGAAACUUUCAACAGCUUGGAUAUUUUGAUGUUAAUGUUAAGAAAAUGGAAGGGGGUUUCUUCUUGAUCGAGUUUGAAAAUAAAGAGUUGCUCACUUCAUUCGAAUACAAAAAUUGGAGUUGGCUGAAUGAUUGGUUGUUUUGAUUCACAGAUAGAAUGGCAUGGGUAUAGUGCUAUGGAGUCGGAGUAUUGAGACAUUUAAAUCUAUUGCAGAGUUAUGGGGAUCUCUCAUUCAACUUGAUGGCAACUGGCAAGACGACGAAAGCUAUAGAUUUAAACAGAAGUAUGAUGCUGAUACGCACGGAACAAUCUGAAAAAGAUUAAUAAAGUUAUCUCGGUGUCUUUUCCUGGAAAAAGCAGAAAUUAAGUAUUUUCCGAGUGCAGGCAACACUUAAAUAAUCUGAGUUUUUCAGAAAAUGAUAGGUUGAUGGAGACACACCUAAACUCUAGCUAUACGGGCGAAACUUUUCCCAUGGGUUGGGAUAAAGAAAAUGAUGAAGAUGAAUGGUCUAGCUUCAUGGGAGAAGAUGAUGAAAUAAUGAGAUUGGUUAUUGUUAAUGGGAAUGGAAAUAAAAAAAGGUUGGAAGAAGGGCUACCUAGCUCAUGCCAGGAGCAAUGUAGUGACAUUGAUUUAAGAGAAGUAGAUGUGAAGUUGACGACAAUAGAGAUAGCUUAGGUGAAUAUGUCCCAAGGCAUGAUAAUGAUUGUGAUAGGGUGAGUGUCAAAACAAUGAUUGCAAAGUAAGCAAUGGAAAGUGGAAAAUAUUAAUAUUAGCUUUAUUCGGUUAGAAUUAUAAUAGUCAGGUUCGCAUCCGUUCAAUAUAAAAUUUUAAGUAUCUUUUAUCUAUGGGUUUAUCCGGUUUAAAAAAUUGAGUUUAAAAUAUGUUUAAAAUUUUGUUUAAAUUUUAUUCAGAUGAAAAAAAUGUUAAAAUUCAAGUUCGUAUUAAUUUCUUUAUAUAAAAAUGAAUUUAAAAAAUAUAAUACAUCAAAUACACUAAAAAUAUUAAAAUAAAAAAUAUAAUACAUCAAAUACACUAAAAAUAUUAAAAUAAUUAUUUUCUAAAAAAGUAAAAAUAAUUUUUUUAAAAAAAACUUUUUGUACUUAAAUAACACUUAGAUUGUUACAACUUAACAAGGAAAUGUCUUUAAAAUAAUAAUAAAAUUAUUAAUAAAAUAAGAGUUAUCCAAUAUCUAAAUAAUAACAACAAAAAUAGUAAUAAUAUAAUAGUAAAAUGGCAAAAAAUGGCAACAAAACAACAUAAAAAUAGCAGCAAAACAACAACGGAAAAAAUUUAAGCAAAUUCAGGGUAGACUUGGGCAAAAAAAUAUUACCUGAGGACUAGUCUGUUUAGAAAAUGAACCUUUUUUUUUAUUUCAAAACUAAUUUUUCGAGCAAAUAUUUUUACCUAAAUUUUCUUAUAUUUCGGACGGACCUUCGAGUUUGAACGAAUAAUUCAAUUUAUAAUUAAGUCUAAUUAGAAUACGAGAUUAUUGGGUUAUUGUUAUGGAAUGUUGUUGGAGGAGGAAUAGUAAUAAUAACUCCUUAGGAGAAGAAGGGAGAAUAAAUAUGUGAAAUGGAAAUUUAGUGAUGAAUUCCAUGAUUCUUCGAAAACAAAAAGAAAUCAAAGAUGGCGACUUAGAGCAUGAAAGUGACACAUUGAGAUGCAAGGUUAGGAAGUCAAUACCCAUUCUACCAAAAGUUUAGAAUUUUGUUUUCAAAUUGAUGAUGCUUCCGGCUUGGUUUGUAAUUUGGUGUUAUUUUUUGUUUCAUUUUGAGGUGUUAUGAUUUGAAUUUUUUUUUUCUUAUUCUUCGAUUCUUUGAGCUUGUAAGUUAUUAGGUCUAUCUUUGUAACCUUUACAAAAUUUUAUUCUUAAAUUAAAAAAUAUAUAUAAUAACACUAUUCUUACAUCAAUAAGAUUAUACAUUUUUUUUAUCUCAAAAUUUUUUAAUAAGCUUAUUUUAAAAUUAGCAGAACUGUUUUUAACUAAUAAGUCUAAAUUAAAAUAUAAUUAUUUUCAAAGUUAAUUUAAUAAUAUUAUGAAAGAUAAAGGUACUCUAGUUGGUUUAUAAAUUUUCUAAAUUCGUGCUUAUAUAUAUUAUAGAUUAAUUACAAAAAUAGUUUUAACAUUGUUAAUUAUUAUUAUAUUUAAAAUAAAAUUAUAUUUAUAUAUAUAAAUGAUAUAUUUAAUUAAAAUAAAUUAGAUUUUUAUUAUUUUAAUUUACCUAAUUAUAUUCAAUAAUUUUAUAGAUUUAUAAUUUUAUUGAUUAAUAAUAUAUUAUAUUAUUUUUUAAGUAGAAUUUUUAAAAAAUAUGACCAAAUUAAUUAAUUGUAUGUUAAUAUAAUAUAAUAUUAAUUAAUAUUUAGUUAAUAUUAUUAUCAUCACAUAAUAAUAUUAAUAAAUUAAUAUUUUGAAUUUAAUAAUAUUAUUAACAAUAAAGAGUAUUUUUUAAUUUAAAAUUCUUUUUAAAUUCGUUUUUUAUAUAAAUUAUAAAUUAUAAAUAUAGAUACACUAUUAUAGAUUGAAGAAAGGGUAAAUGUUAUUUUUUAGGGAAAGUUUUCAUGUUAGUUAAGUAUUAAUUUCAACUAUUAGUUACACGUAAAAUACACUUCCUUUUACUAAAUUUUUAGGUUAAAUAGGUAAUAUAUGACAAUUUUUUAAUUCACGAUCAAUUUUUUUAAGGUUAGGGUUGAUUAUUAGUAUUGGGAUUUAGGGGUUUUAUUGGGUUUAGAGUUUUAAGAGUGACCGUGAAAGUUUAUAGGUAGUUUUGAAAGGUUGGGGAUGCGAUAAUACGUUUCAGAACACAUACAUUUCAUAUGUCAUGCUAGGAUAAUACCAUUCCUGUAAAAAUCCAUCCUAUGGAAGUCGGGUUCCGGGGUGACAGUGUUUGAUACGGUCGCGGGUCAAAGUUUAAGUGAAGGUCCCAGUCGAUGACCUUUAUGCGGUCACGAGUUCGAGUGUAACUAGGGGGUAGUUCACGAUCAUUAUACAGUCACAAGUUCAAACUUUUCGGAUACCCGCAAAUGAUGCCUUGAGGUCAUAAUCAUAGGGGAAAACGAAGGGCUUUCCAAUGUAAUCAACAUAAUUUUUUUUGUUGCUAUUUCCAGGCAAUCGAUAUCUUUAACAUUUCAUUCUUAUCCGAAGGUUAACACCAAGGUUGACACAAGAGAACUUUCAGGUGGAGAGCGGAUGUCCUGGCGAAGCAAAGGUCAAACUCGAGUUGGCGUGAUAGCGGUUGUAGUUAUUAAUGGGUUAUUUAAUAACAAUAAUCGUUGUCGCCUCGAAAGGAGCAUCACCUUUACUCCACUUGUAACAUCCUCAAAAACCCCCUUGGUCGUAAAUAAUAUGAGAUAAAAUCUUAGUGAAAUAAGGUAUAAGAUCAAAGAAAAUGAAAGUUGCAAUAUAUCAAAAGAAUUGUAAUAUAUCAAAAGAGAGUUAAAUCAAGAAGCAUGACAUCAUGUAUUAAUGAAGGGACUAAAUCAUAAAUAUGUGAAAAGUUUUUGGCUCAAGUGUAAAAUUUAAAUUUUAGGGGAUCAAAGUGUAAAAAUGAGAAAUUUGAAGGACCAAAAGUGAAAAUAAUUCAAUUUACUAAGAUAUGGAAUUGGCAUUAGGGCCAAAUUGAAUAGGUGAAGAAUUGUGAGGGACUAAAUCAUAAUUUUACCAAAUUAAGUGAUGAUUCAAGGAUGAAAUUUUGAAAAAUCGUAAAGGGUAAAAUGGUCAAUUAGCAAGAGGGAGAGUUCUAGAAUGUAAUGAUGAUGUUGAUGAUAUUUUGGUGUUUUUUUUAAUUAAUUAGUUAAAAAUUAUUUUAUUAAUAUUUUACUUAUAUGUUUAUUAUUAUUUUAUUUAGGAAAUGGUAGUAUAAAAAGAAAGGAAGGAUGAAGGAAAUUUAUCAUCCUUCCAACGUGAGUGAAAGGAUGAGAAAAGAAAUUUUCUUUUCUUUACAAUUUAGUCAUUUGCCAUGAAAACCUACUGUCGAAACCAUUUUUUAAAGGGAUGUUUGAAAAAUGGUGAUCGACUUUUGAAAAACGAAAACGGGAGUCGCCACCAACCUUUUUAGGUGUGAUUGGAUCACCUUAUAAAACAUUUUGGUCUACGAAAAUUAAGAAAAUAGGUUCGGGAGUCGGUUACAUACGAGGAAGGAUUAGCACCCUCGCAACGCCCAAAAUUGGUACCAAAUUGAAUAGUUUUCUGUCUUAAUGUCAAAAAUUUGAAAGGAUUUAAAAAUAGAAUUCCUUUUUUAAAAUCGAAAUUAUUUAAGUUAAAAAAUCGAGAUUCCUUAGCUCCGAAAGAAUACAAACAUCACAUCCAGCAUGAUAGGACACGAUAUUCUUAAACUCUCGUAACUGAAAUCAUCUCGUGAUUUACAAAAUCUAUUUAGAAGGAUACUUUAGGCAUUUAGACAAACGGGAAAUCGCAACCCAGCAUGUUAGGGCAUUAUUUCCCGAAUUCCUAAAUACGAAAAACAUUACCUCAUUUUAGAAAAACUUUUGGAUAAAAUAUGAAAAUUAAAUGAAAUAUAUUUUUUUUAAAAUAAUGAUUUGAGUAGAAUUUAAAAAAAUACUUUACUAGGAGUAAUACUAAAAAAAUUAUUAAAAAAUGAAAGAGUUUGAUAUGAUACUAAAAUUAUUAAAAAAAUUAAAAUAUAUAAAAAAUCAGGGAAACAUGGAUUAAAUCAAAAUAAAAAGGGUUGAAAAACGAAGAUGAACAAAGAAUAAAAUAAGAACAAACCGUAGAAAAUAAGAACGUAAGAGGGAGAGAAAUUUGAGUGAAAGCUCUCAAAAAUUUUUAUUGUUUCCCAAAACUCCAGUGUGUUUACAAUGAAGGGAGAGGCCUCUAUUUAUAGUUGAACCUCCUCAAAUCCAACGGUACAGAUUAAUUACAUCAACAGUUAAGAUUAAAAGGUAUCUACAAAUUAAAUCUCUAAGAUUACAAAAUCAUAUCUUCUAAGAUUGCAUAUCAUAUCUAAGAUUGCAAUCAUAUCUAAGAUUAUAUCAUAUCUAUGAUUGCAUAUCAUAUCUAAGAUUGCAUAUCAUUGAAGAUUAUAUUUCCAUAUGAGUCAAGCUUGUAAAUGGACCAUAAAUCUUUUCAAGUAAUGGGCCAUUCCGGUCGGGCCAAAUUAUAUUUAUAAUUCUGGACUGAACUUGGACUUCGUUUAUUUUUUUAUUUUUAUUUUUAUUGGGUUUAUUAUUUUUGUUUUUGGACUUAUUUCUGGGCCCGGGCAAAAUUGAGUGUCUACACCUAUCUUUUUACCCAAAAUUUUUGAAAAUUUCCUUAGAUAUUAAAGAGAGAAGAUGAAGUAGAGAUUCUAGAGAAUAUGUUCAUCAAUUUAGAAGCAAGAAAAUAAUAGAUGAAAGUGGAGAAAAUGGGAAGGAAAAGGAAGGAAAGUGGUGAAGAUGAGAAAUGCAUGGAAAUGAAGAUGUUAAAAGGAGAUAAGUUUCAUAUUAAACCUACUUGUUUUUCAAUAGAUUGAGUUAAAGAUGUUUUGAGUGAGAUGUAUGAAACAUGUAUUUAAUCUAAAUACUAGAAAUAGAAAAUAUUUGAUGAAGAAUAGAGACUUAAAACACUAAAUUGGUAAGAAAGAAUGUGAUUUGUAUGGUGAAAAGUACUAAGAUUAAGAAAUGAAUAUGUAAUCUACAAUUAAACAUAAGUGUCUAAAUUGUAUAGUAAUCAAAAGUAUGACAAUUAUGUGUGAAUGAAUGAAAGAUAGUGUAAAGAACCAUGGAAAAGAAAAUAUUUUUUUCAUUAAAACAGUUUGGACAGCAGCAGUGACUUAAAUUUGAAAAUUCACCAAAAAUUACAGAAAUUUAGUUAGAGAUUUAAUUAAAUAUGUAAUUAAAUAUUAUUUAGUCCAGUUUCAUAUGGAAGAAACAGUGAAAGAAACAGAAUUUUAUAGUUUGAGAUAUAUUAAUUUUUGUGAAACAAGGUCGGAGUGGAUUCGAGUUCCCUGUUUUGACUUUGGAAAAUCAUAAAAAAUUGUAAAAAUAUUAUUAGGGUUUUAAAUUUAUAUGUUUAAAUUAUUGACGAGUCUAUUUUCGAGAGAAACAAACGAAAACAUUAUCCAAACCUUGUAAUAAGAGAUAAUUAGUUUUUAGUAAAGAAAGGUCGAAGCUGUCAAACAACAGAACAGGGAAAAUUUGAAGAAUUUACUGUACUUAUUGGCUAAUUCAUAAAUUCUGAAAUUUUUAUGGUAAAAAUAUUUGAGUCUAGUUUCAAAAACAUCAAGCGGAUCUUAAUUUUGAAUUCUGUAGCUCAAGAUAUAAAUAAUUUAAUGACUAUGACUCAAGUGGACGGUUUUGAUAUGAAUACAUAAGUAAAUAGUGGAAUUAUAAAUAAUGUUACAUAUAAGCAUGUUAUAUACCAAAAGUUAAAAAUUCUAACAAAUAUAUACAUAAAGGAUGUGGAAUGGAGAGGAGGAGAAGGAAAAAAAGAUAUAAAUAUAUAUAUAUAUAGUAGAUGAAUUUGAAAUGUUUCGAAAUGGUUGUAAGUGAUGGAACGAUUAAUACAUGUGAGUAUGUUUAAACGAAUUGAUAAAAUAAUAAGUGAAUAAUUGUUAAUUGAUGUGAUAUUGAAUUCUUUGUUAAAAUUUUAUGAAGAAUUAAAUUGAUUGACACAAUUUAGAAAUAAAUAUAAAAUAUACAUAAAAUGGGUAAACUAAUUUUGAAAGUGCAAGUCCUCCAAUGGUCUUAUUUGUAAAACUUUAAUAUUUGUGUUAAUUUUAUAUACUUUGUUAUCUUUAAUUGAAUAUCAUGUUUUUAUGAGGACUUGAUAUUAGAAAUAGAUGUAAGUGGAUGAUAUGUAAAAUGAAGUGGCGGUUAUGACAUCUAAAUAUAUUUUUAGGUAAUGAUAUAAAAAAUAAAUAAAUAAAAAUAAAGCGUGGAACUUGUAGGAAAAUAGAGACGACGUCACGAUGACAAGUUCGUCAUGUUACGACGUGGAAACCCCAACAUUGCGAUGACAGUUCAAAAUUUUUUAUAUACUAUACAAUUUGGCCUUUAAUCAAUUGUGGAUGUUUUAAUGAGCUCCUUUAACUCAUAAUUAGUUCUAUCGUAAAUUUAAUUAUUACUGAAAUGAGAUAAUGAUCUAUAUUAAUUAAAUAAUAUGAUACAUUGAUCUAAAAUUUUCAGUAGUUGCUUCGACAAGGAAUGUGACAUCCUGAUGCCUUGACUCGACAACCGGGUCGGGUAUGGGGGUGUUACACCACUGCCACAACCGCUGUUUGCGUAAGAGUUCUUUUGUGUCCACAGUGGUGCUGACCUAUGGAUAAAAAGGAAGGUUAAAGAUAUCAACUGUGUGGAAAUUGAGAAAAAAUUAUGCUGAUUAUAGUGGGAAACCCCAUAGUUUUUCCCUAUUUUUAUGCCCUCAAACUUCUGUAUGCCAUCAACUGGCUCUCUAUUUAUAUUUCGAUCUAUGACCUCAUAACAACUAUUAAUCGAGACCUCUACGUAGACUUCCACCUAUAACCGUAUAAAGCAUCGUCACCGUAGAACCCAACUUCCACGAGAUAGGUUUCUCAGGUAAUGGUUUCAUUUCAGCACGAUAUAUUAAAUGUGUCUUGGAGCGAUAUCGUAUCACUGACGACUCAAGAAUACCUCAAAUAGGAAUAAAUAUUAUCGAAAAAAAAUUUUAAACAUUGAAGCAGGGAAGAAAAUUAAGAGAGAGAAAUAUUGUAAAGUUAAGGGAUGAUGGUCGGGAGAGAUGAUGAGUUUAGGGACGAUGGAGUAUGGAGAAAAAGCCCCCUUUUAUAGGCGCGGGGGAGGGGUGAGAUUGAAAAGAAAAAAAAACAACUCAUGGUUGAAAACGCAUUGUAGAAGAGAUGUUUUUAUUGAAUAUCUGAAAGAUGUGCCUCAAAUCUUACCUAGAAUUCCCUGGGGUAGGGCACCUAUGCAGGCUUUAAAUGGUGGUGGAUAGAAAGCGCACUCAGUUGGCGAGCUUUCCUGUUGACAUGUAAGGGAAAACACGCACAGCUAAACACGCUUUCUGUCCACCACUACUCAAAGCUUACCAAGGUGCCUUGCCCCUGAAAAUCUCGAUUACAUUUUCAAGCAUACUGAAGACCCUUUUAAACAUAUGUUUGUUGAAAUUGAUUCUGCUAAAACACGUUUCAAGCACAAAAUACCCUUUCAUUACUAUUCAAUUAAAACACGUCUUCUGAAACGCGUUUUGAAGCACGCAUUCCCUUCCUCCUCAUUUUUUUUACUAUUAAACUACCGAAAUAUUCAAUACUUAAACAUAAGCAAAUCAGUUUUUUUUUUGAAGAGUUUCACUACAAGUGUUGUCUGCAUUUCUUUAGAUAACCAUCUGAAGAUUUUUUUUGUUCUAAAUAUUAAAUUCAUUUUAAAUUGAAAUAAGUCGACGAGUGAAAUCUGUAAUUUAUUACAACAGUUAAAUUUUUAAUAUGAACGUCGGGUUCAUAUUUGCAGGAGCCUAGUAUGUGGAAUUGGCUUUUAAUCACAACAUUCAAUUACGUGAGCUACGAGCUAGAAUUAGGAGGAAAGUUUGAGGUUCAAGAUGGGGAAGAAUUUCAAGCUUGAAAUGUAGAUAUCUGUCAUCACUAGACCCAUUUAAGUAUGAGUUAUUUGAUGUGAAAUGCGAGCUGGAGCUAGAGGCGGUCAUAGAUUCACACUGCUUAAGUGGAAAUGCUAUAAUGGAAUUACAUGUCGAGUUUGUCAAGGUUGAUGGAGCUGGUCCACCUUCGACCAAUGUUGCUGCUAAUACGGGAAACGAAACAAAGGCAGAAAGUCCUACGACACAGGUGUGCGGUGGGUUCACUGUUUUAUUACAAAGCUCCCAUUAUAAUGUCCCUAAAUCGUCAAUAAAAAGACAUUUUUUGGUUUUAGGCACCAACUUUAACUUCGGCGGCCAUUCCGUCUAUCAACUUCAGCGACCAUUCUUCGGUUUUAGUCUGGGCCAGAUGGUUUGGAAGUGGCACUUUUUUCUGAACUAGAGCAUGUUCCAACUGAGCUAGAACCUUACGAUUCCAAUGAUGAUCAUUCAGACCAUGUUCUAGACUCAAAUCCGCGAUUCAGGGCAUAUGAACCUCCAUUCUAUAAGCAUAACAUCGACUUCCCUGCUAAGAGUGGGUUAGAGUUCUCACAACUCUUGUACAGAAGAACUGGUUAUGCAAGUUCUUCGUCAAAUGUUCAGAUAUUAGAAGUUGGCAUGAAAUAUCCCUCAAAAGAUGUUUUUCUUACUACACUGAAGCGGUAUAGCUUCAAGAACAAUGUGAACUAUUAUGACACGGAAUCUUGUUCAAAAAAAGUAAAGGAAAAGUGCGCAAUGUGCGAUGAGAGGUUAGAAUGAAAAAUCAUGACAUCUUUUCGGAAGAAGACGAUCUUGUGGACAAUAAAUAAGUAUAUCAAUCCACAUACUUUUGUUGCAGCAAGUGCGCAAUGCAAUCACCCAAUAUUUUUAUGUAACCUAACAAAGGUCUUUGUUUUUGCCAAUAAUCUAACUUUGGCUUGUACUUUUUAGGUGUAAGUCAAGAUCAUCCGAUACUAGACUUUGACAUGAUAGUUGACAUAAUUCUACCUAUGGUGAAAGCGAAUUUCAAGAUUCCCAUGUCAAUAUUGAUUGCCAACUUCCGUAGCCAGUGUGAUUAUAUGCCAUCGUACGAGUCUAAAAUUCCUUACUAUUACCAAUUGAGUGACGUAAAUGUGCUUGUCGUUGAAACAAAUAAGAGAACUUGUCAUUUGUGAAAAUUUAAUCAAAAUGAAUAAUUUACGAAAUAAUAAAACAGAAAUAUUAUAUUUUUAUACAAAUGUAUUGGAAAAUUUCAAACAAAUCUUGAAAAAGUUGAGAGAAUUGAGAGUUUAAAUAGAAUAGAGAAAGUUGGAUUUGAGUGAAAAGAAUGAAAAAUAGCCUAGUAUUUAAAGAAAAUUAAAGUUACUGUUGGGUUGUUUAAAAAUUUUACUAUUGGUGCAUUUGAAUUUGUACGGUUGGAGAAAUGAUUAUUGGAGGAAAGCGUGUCCAUUUCACACACUCUCUCCAAAAUUAAACCUAAAUCAUAAUAAAAAGAGUCUAUUUGACCAAUUAAAAAAAAAUCAGCCUAUUUAGCCAAUUUUUUAUACACCGAAAAAAAAAACAAUGAGAAAAAGAUAGGAAAUUUCAAUUCCAAUAUAUCCAAAUAAUUAUCACGAUGAAAUCUUUAAAUUUUAGAGUUUUAGAUCCGUAAAAUCUUUAAUUUAUUAGAAUCUUGGAGCUAUUAUCCCAUAAUGUUUUUUUUAAAAAAUUAACUCUACAAAAGUGAUCAAUAUUACUUUUUUCUUUGUAUUUUUAGGGUUAAUAUAUUAUUUAGUAUAUGAGUUUGGAUUUAAUAUUUAAUUUAGUAUUUGAGUUUAUUUUAUUUUAAUUUAAGACUUAAGUUUAACUUCAAUAUUAAAUUUGACACGUAAAUCAAAUAGCAUCAUGUGGUCAAAUAAAAUUUUACUAAGUUGCUCUAAUAAAAAAAUAUAAAUACUUAAUUAAAAAAAAUUCAAAAACUAAAUUAAACAUUAAAAUUAAAUUCAAAUUUUUAGACGGGAGAAUUAAAACUCAAGUCUUAAAUCAAAGUAAACAUUAAGGAAAAUUGAAGUAACCUUAGCGUACAAAAAUUUCCAUAAUUAAUUAAGUCAUUAAUUUCUAUGACUUCUUAAAAAAAAUCUCUCCUUCUCUCUCUUUUUUUUUUUUAAAUUAAACUUUAUUAUAUUAUAAAAACAAUCCUUCACUAACACAGUAAGAAGCCUCUUUUGCUUUAUUUUCGCGCUUUCAUGGUUAUUCUCGCCGAAUAGAACUUUCAAACACAGAACUAUAAAAAAAAAAAUAUUCAUCAAUAUUUUCUCCCUUUAUCAACUCAAUUUUCUUCAAGGUAACACUUUUUUUUAAUCGCUGUUUUUUUUUGUGUGUAUUAUCUAAAUUGGAUUUUUUCAUUCUAUGCAUAUAUUGAUUUCUAUGCUUCAAAUUUUUUUCUUUUGCUUUUUUUGGCUAUCAUUUGAUAUAAUCCAAAUUGGGUUUCCUUCAUUUAAUCGAUCCAUGUUUGUUUCUGGGUUUAUAUUGAUUUCAGUAAAAGCUUGAGUCUUUAAAUGAUUUAGUUAAUGUGUGUGCAAGUUUUGGUUUAAUGAAAGCUGCUAUUUUUUUAAUCCCAAAUUUGAUUAUUGAUUGUUUACAUUGGUAUUUGAUUUAAUUCUAUUAAAGGAGUUAACCCUUUUGCUAAUUAUAAAUAAAGCCUUAAAAAGACCCCCAUUUUUGUAAAAAGAAGAGAUAGUGUGUUGAUUGAUACAUAUAUGUAUAAUUAGAAUGGUUGAACUUUACUGAUAUAAGGUUAUAUAUAUAGGGUUUUAACUGAAGUGGAAAAGCAUAAAAUUUAACAUCAUGGGUUCUUUUUGUUGCUGCUUACGUGCUGACGAUUCCGAGGAUUAUACGAAUUCAAACAACAAUGUUCGUAGACAUUGUUUAUGCCUCAGUUGUUUCGUUCAAAAUUUCCUUCACAUGGUAUGUAUGUUCCCUAAUUCUUUGUUAAUGAGCAUUGCUUAAUAAGCAUUAUGGUAUGUACAUGCGUAUGUUGGUAGAAUUAGCAAAUCGUUUUCACGGCAUUUGCCUCUAUAAUUGUAGUAUGCCACGUUAUUUCAAAGGAGAGAUUCUGUACCUUCAUCGAUUCUAGGGACGGCAUAUGUGAAUUCUCCUGCAUCACUAUACAGUUCGCUUACUGACGUUUACGAGUCUACUAUAAGGUCUUUGCCUUAUGAUGGCGAGACUAGACAUUGUCGUUUACAGCGUGAAGGUCUUGUUUCGAGACGUGAGAAAGGUUCGAGUCAUUCACAAGAAGAUUCAAAGUCUUUAAGAGGUGCAGACGAUGCAGAUUCGGAAACGUUUAGUACAGGAGAGAAAUGGAAUUCUUUUGAACAAGGCUCGACAGAGAGGCAAUCUAAAUCCUCACAAAAUCACUCAUCGGCAAAAUCACAAGUCGGAGUUGGGUACACUUAUUGGUCAGCGGAAGAAGAGGAUGUCUGUCCAACAUGUCUCGAAGGUAAUAUUUCUUCUUGAGUUUCAAAUUUGAUGUAGCCCACUUCAUUAGGAUGUCUGUCCAACAUGUCUCCAACAUCUUUCAUUCGUAUGCAUGUUCAUUGAUGUUAAGCCGAGCAACAAUGAACCUGUGUGCUUGUGCCAUUAGUUUGGCCUGGAUUAUAGUGAUUGGCGACUAAGCAAAACUUGCUUUACUUGGGGAACACACAAUACAUGCCAUAAAAAGUUGAUAAAAAUACCGAACAUAUUAGGUUGGGAUUUUAAUACAUAUAUUAUCUUCGUUUUAAAUUAAACGGUUGAUUAUGUGCAGAAUAUACUCCAGAGAAUCCCAAGAUCGUAGCAAAAUGUUCCCACCAUUUCCAUCUCAGUUGCAUUUACGAAUGGAUGGAGAGAAGUGAAAACUGCCCAGUCUGUGGCAAGGUAUCCUCGUUUCCCGAUUUCUCGUCUCCAUGAUAGUAUAUAACCAUCAAUAAUAUCUUUUUAUGGGUUUGUUUCCGCUUUUGGCCGUUUUUGAUGUCUUCUAUUUUCAGCUAUGAACUAACUUUGGAAUCUGUCGUAACAAAAUCCGAAUGAGAAUUAACAAUUAUUGCUUGGAUAUCAGCUGUGUUUGAUGUACAAUGUAUUGCUUGAAUUUGGUUAGCACUUGGUGAUCAAAAUGUUUUUGGGAUUCACCAGUUUUUAUCCUCGUUGCUUCUUAAUCUAGUGAUCAUACGAUGUUAUACCUGCAAAUCUUUACACUUAUAAAUUCUGGUUUUUGUUCUUUCCCAGGUUAUGGUGUUCGAUGAAACGACUUAAUCUCGCUUCAAAGGCUUCGUUCUAUAUAUUAUAGAACUAAGGAUUCUGUACAGUUUAACAAAUGAACAAAACCUUUUUUUUUCUUUUAUUUACAAAGCAGCAAACUAGGAUAGGGAAAUAAAUUGCAGGUUUAGGUAUUUGAAUUUCCGUAUUAUUUUAUUUGAAUCAAACUCAACUAAGUUUCGGUUCCUUUAUAUAUAUUUAUGCUAGUGAGGGUUCAACCUUGGAAUAAAGUAAAAAUCGUGAGAUUUGAACUCCAAACUUGUUGGAUGACAUUGGGAUGCUGCAAUUUGAGCAAAAACAUCGUUGAGUUUUCAAAUGAACAACUUGUAUAUAGUUUGUCUGAUACAUUUGAACUUCUCUGAGGAUGUUAUGUUAUGAAAUUCUCACUAUAUAUGAAAACAUGGUUUCGUACUACUCGAUUUGAACAGCUGUUAUAAUAUCACUGAUUUGGUACUAGGUUGAGAUUGAGCUCAGCUUCCUUGUUUGUCCCUUUCAUGGCUUCGUAACUCCCUCUGCAUGAUUUUUCAUAUAAAAACUUUUGAGGAAUCAGUGUAAUUGCAUGAGUUUCAGUCCUGCAUGUUGCUUUAAAAGAUGGUAAAUAUGCCGAGGAGGUUUUUGAAUUAGAAAUAAAAUUACAUUUUAUCAUUUUUAAUUAAAAAAUAGUAAAUUAAUCUUUGUCUAUUAGAUUACAGAGUAAAUUGGUCGUUUUUGUUAAACAUUUUGUACUGUUAAAAAAUAAAAUAAUCAAUGACGUACAUCUCAUGCAGAUGUAUAAGGACUAAUUUGUAAUAGCAAAAAAUGAAUGGAAUUUCAGUUUGUUCAUUGGUAUAAUAUAUAAGAAUUAAUUUAUCUAUUUUUUGAGUAAAUGGGGUAAAAUGCCGAAUUUCUAUGGCACUUUUAUCUUUAAAAGGCCAAGGCAUAUAUGUGCAUAUAACUUACAUUAUAGAAAGUAAAAGUAAAAGUACUAUGGAGGUCUUUGUACUAAGAGUUAAAUUGUAUUUUAUCCCGUUUACUCAAAAAAUAAACAAAUUAGUCAUUGUACAUUAGAUUAAAUAACAUACAAAUUGAUCAUUUCUGUUAAAAAUUUCAUUCAUUUUAUUAUUAAAAAUUGGUGCGGCAAAGAGAAUAACCAAAUAAUUACAUAUAACCUACCACGUGUACUUUAUUUUUGACAUACAAAAACCAAUUUUUAACAAUAGAAAUAAAUGAAAUUUUUAACAAAAAAAUCAAUUUGCUCUAAUGUAUAGAGACUAAUUUACUCAUAUUUUUUAAUUAAAAAAGUAAAAUACUUAACUCUUAGUUUAGUUUGAGGUCUUCCAUGCUUUUACCCAUUAUGGAAUGGUUAUUGAGCUAGCAGGUAAACACAUUAUUUUGUAUAAGAGAAAAGAGAGUUAAAAAAUACCCAAUAGUCAAACAAGGAAACCGUGUUGCAGCCGGUGGUGGUGUUGGUGGUUGUAUGGAUGUUGAUGGUGGUGAGUUUUGGACAAGUUUUUGUUGCACUUCAUGUUGUGCAUGUUCUGUCGGUGUCUGCUGUUUUUCUUUAAGCUUUAUCCAUGGCAGUAAGGCAAUAAAUGAAACUAGAAUAUAAGCCAUGCUUGAACAUAUCUACAAAAAACUGUAAUAAUUUUUUACCUUUUUAGCUAGCAUGUUGUUCUGGUCUUGCAAUGUCUUUUCCUGUCACAAGGUUCAUAGUCACAAAUAGUAACUUUUUUCUUUUUAUCCAUAUUCUUUUUGAAUUUUUUAAUUUACUCCAAAGCUAUGAUAUGACAAAGUUCUUACUCUCUUCUGCAGCACUGAAAUGGAUUCAUUCAUGAGUUUGUUCUGCAUGUCAAAAGAAAACCAUGAUUUGAGUAAAAUAAAAUAAAAUAGAGCAUUCAUAUAAUCAAAAUAUAAAAUUUUGAAAUUAUUCAGUUUUUUUAACCUUUCUAGUUCGUAUUCGCUUCAGAGAAUUACCAAUUUGUUGUUCCAAAAGUUGCAGGUCCCUUGAACUCAAGGGUUCAAGCUCUUCUCCACGAAAGUUCCUGCAUUCACACAAGUGUUACAUACAUACAUACAUACAUAUGUACGUACGUACGUACGUAAAUCAUUUGCUUGAGUUUAUUAAGUUUCCAGUAAGUCCAAUGCAACCCUAGAAGCUUUGUCUGCUUAUUUUAUUUAUAAUAUAAUUAUUAAUAUUUAUAUUUUAUUAUUGAAUAAAAAAUAAGAUAUAUUUUAAUGUUCAUUUAAUUUAAAUAAAUGAACAUAAACAUGUAUAAACAAACACAAAUUUGCAUAAAUAAACAUAAAAACAAAAAUUGAAUUUCUUAACCAACAUAAUCUGAACACAAACAAACUCAAAAAUAAACAAAUACAAGUAUAUGUUUAACCCAGAAUAGACCAAGUUUCAAACAUAUGAAAUUACAUAUUUGUACCUCAAGUUCCUUUGCAAGACUUCAAUAGUUGACAUGAGUUUGGAAGAUUCCAAAGACCAAUUUGCCUGUUAGAAAGUUGCUUUAAAUCAACAAGCACUAACAAUAGAAAUUUACAAGCUUGAAAUGGAAUUUCAACAAAUUGUAAUAAUUGGUAGCUUACGGUUUUUUUACGUUCAACAUUUUCAACACAUAGUGAAUAGAAAACAUGAUUUGAACAAUAAUCAUCUAAGAGAUUAUCAGACAAGUAUUUACCUUAAAAAGAUAAGAAUGGAACGGCAGCAAUGGUUACACUCCGAGUAAAAAUUACUCAGACAAUAUGCAGGUAUUAGAUAAAAUUUCACGAUUUAAUGCAAGACAUACCUGUGAUUCAGAACCAGUUGGGGCAUAUAUUUGUCGUUCGUAUCGUUCUAGGAUCCUCUCCAUGCUGUAAUCAAGGGAAAAAACGACAUACAUGAACAAAGAAAUGAACCAUAGAAAUAACAAGUUUUAUCAUUGUACAUAUAUAUAUAAUUUUAUUUUAGAUUUAAGACUUUAAUUUUUUUUGUGUGUUUUAUUAUUCACUGAUAAUACUAUUUAAGACACUUAUCAACUCACUGAGUGAAAUUUUUUGUAUUAUUGUUUGAAGUAUAUUUUGAUUUUUCUUUAUUUUAAAAAUCUAACAUAAAGAUCUUUUAUGUUAGAAAAAUAAGAGAGUAGCAUUUUUAUAACAAUUAAAAGAUUAUCAAUUUUACAAUGUGCAUUUAAUAAAAUGAUGUCACAUUUUUUAGUGAUAUCUACCUAAUAAUAUUAUAGCUUAACUUGAACAGUUGUAUUUACCUAAAUAAUAAUGUCACUUAAAAUAUUACCAUGUCAUUUAAUUAUGUUCACUAUUUAGUUUUUUUCUUAACAAGGGUGAAAUUAUACUUCAAGGUAAAACAUGAAGACCUACACAUUCCCUUAUUAAUAAUGUUUUUCUAUUGCUUAAAAAAAACAUUAUUUGACAUCUCUAGGUAAUAAUGUUAAUUUUAUCAUACAAACAUUUGGUAGAGAUAUUAUUUAUUUAACAUGUCUUAGUAUAUAAGUUAACAAUAAAUCAUUUUCAUUGGUAAUAUUUAAUACUUCUAUGACUUAUUUUUAACAAAAAUAAAAAAAAUAAUCGAUUACUUUUACAAAAGUUUUACUUUCUAAUUUUAAGUUGUACCAAUCUUAUUUAUUUUAUGUCUAAUUAUUUUAAUACAUGUAUUAAAUAAGAUUUUUCCUCGUAUUAUUACACUGGUAACUAAACAAAGAAUUAAUGUUCAAUUGAGUUUUAAGAUUAGUUUUUGAUGAAAAUUUAUUAUUAACUAUUAAUAUUAGUAAUUAAAUUUCAUUAAUUUAAUCUUUAAACUUGAAAAAGAAAAUCACAACCAUCAUAUUAUUUUUAGCAAAUUAACCAUAAAAUUAAACAAAUUCUCGAUGAACCCUAAAUUUAUUCUAUUAACAAAAUCAUGAAAAUUAAACUUAACAUUAUUAGUAAUUAACUUACACCAAAUCAACUUUAAAAUUCAAAUUAAACAUUAAAAAGUUAACUCUAUUAGUUUCAAAUAUCAAAAUGUAUAACAUUUGUGAAAUAUCAAAUAUCACAUUUAGAAAUUACACUAUACGAUAUAUUUACCCAUUAUUAUUAUUAGUAAAUAAUGGUUCUACACUUGUAUAUAUCAUUUAACAAAAGUAAAUGGAUUUAUCCACUCAUUAAGUGAAUUAUUAUCUUUCAAAUCUUAAUAAUUAAUUUACUUAAAUAAAAAUUUAAGUCCAAUGAAUCUACUUCUUCCAAUGAAUCUACUUCCAUAUACACUUAAUUUAACUCAAUCCAAAACUUUUUUUCUUCUUAUUAAAACAGUGAAAAAUAAAAUUAAAGACACUUGAUUUAAUUAAAUGGAAUAUUAUAAUGAUCAAUAUGGAAAUUGUAAAUAACAAAGUUACAUUGCUUUCCUCACUUUCCAUAUAUAUAUAUAUAGAUGAAUGUAUAUAAUGUCUAUGAACAUAGCUAAUAUCAUUAGGAGGCAAUCUUCUAGGUGAAUCAAAAACAAAUUCCAAUAUCCUAGGUUAAAAUGAAUAGCAAAAAGAAAAUGAAAACAAUGACAAAAAUAUGCAAUAAAAACACCAAGCCCUAUAUAUGGCACAAAGCUCUAGAAAAUUUGCCCAAAACUUGAAUUAAUUUGGUUUUUCUUUGACAAAUUUUUAGCUUAAUUAAAGUCCCAAAAUCAAAAGGGUAAUUUGCCAUUUGAAUUAAACUUAACCCAAAUUCAUUACCAUAAUUGUUUGCUGCCCAAAUUCUAUAUGAACAUAAAACUAUAGAAGUUAAUUUCUUUGACUAAAUGAAUAUAUAUAUAUGCGCUAAAUUUUCAUAAGCAAAAUUAGGGUACAAUCCAUUAAUUUGCAUUAUUAUUAAGCAAAAAAAUAAUUUAGUGUUCAAUAUGAAAGUUCAAUUCAAGUACAUGCACUAACAAUAAAAUAAAAUUUAUAGAAAACAAUCUUCAAAAAAUUGUACUGAUCUGACAACUCAAUACAGAAAAAUUGUACAGAAAAUCUUCAAAAAAUACACAAAUUUAUGUCUUGUUAUCUAAAAAAAAAAAAAAAGAACAUAAAUAAAAAUGUUCAGCAAAGUUCUUUAGCUGAAGACACAAUAUCUGUUAGAAGCUGAGGAUUUUGGUGUAAUGCAAAAGCCAUAAACAGUGCAGUGAUGAACACAAAGAAGGAAAAUAAGAAAAACCCAAAAAUGAAUAUACAUAUACAUAUAUAUAUAUUAAAGAGAGAAAAAAGAAGAAACCUGGGAUCAGAAGAGAACUCAAAGAGCUUUCCUUUGUUAGAGAAAACAAUCAAAGCAACAUCAGCAUCGCAUAAAACUGAGAUCUCAUUGGCUUUCUUUAAUAAACCACUUCGUCUCUUUGAGAAUGUUACUUGUCUGCUAAUAUUGUUCUCGAUCCGUCUUAGUUGAACCCUACCUCUACCCAUAUUUUGUUUUUUUAUUUUCCCAGGAAAGUAAAUUUUUCUUACUAAACAAACAAAGCAAAAAAGCAAAGUUCAAGAAACCCUAAAUAUAUGAUUCAUGGAUUCUUUUUUUUUUCUUUUUUUUUGGAAAUUUUACGGAGGAAAAGGAAAUAUGAAACUGAAACAAAAAUGGAUAUUGGAAAGAAAAAAAAAGUAUAGGAUUCUAUUUUUUUUUUCAGGUGUCGUAAUAAGAAACAAAAGGGUUGAGUUUCCAUUUUUACAUACAUAUAUACAGGGAAAAAGAAGAAAGGUAAUAGAAAAAUAAAAUAAUAAUAAUUAGGUUUACUAUUUCAUGUAUUAACAAAAGAAAUUAUUUAUCUUAAUGCUUACAAGUACAUUCACAUUAUACAAUUAUAUAUAUAAUCGGAGACUUGUUUAUGAUUUUUUUCUCCAUUCGAUCUGUUCUGUUGUAAAAUAUAAACAGAACAACAACAAAAGUUUAACAACAACAUACUAAAAUAAAACAUAUGAACUUAAUAUAUGAUAAUCACGUAUGGACUUAAUAUCUCAAUCUUUGUUAACAGUAUCAAAAGCUCGUUAAUAUUUAUCUAUAUGCAUUUAUGAAGAAUUAAAAUAUAAUCAAAUAAUAACUACAUAUAAUGAGAUUGAAAAUUCACCUAUGAUAAUAUAAAACUUGAACUGAAAACUCAACUCUUGCCCGUUAGCAAAUAAUUAUUUAUUUUUGUUAAAAAUUAAAUUAUUUGUAUUAAUUUUUUUUUAAAAGCAUAUAAAAAAAAGGAAAGGGAAACAGUGGAUGAAAUGAGUUUUCGAAAGGUGAUUGGUUAGCAAAAGAUGAAACAGUCUGUUAGUGUCAUGUUUUGAGCCACAGAGAUUGGAACAGUGACCGCUUCCGUACAAUUCUUUCCAUUAUUUUGGGGGUCCCCCCGGGGGGGGGGGGGGGUGAGCAAAUAAAAAUUGUGAUAUAAUGUGUCCUUUGAUUUUGCUGACGGCGCUAAGGGCAUUGAUUUUUAGGGGGAAAUUACAAAGGAAGCCUGGUGUACUCCAAGUUAUUCACAUUUACAACCAUAUAAAGAGUUUAUUAAUUAUUACCAAUAUAAAUAGAAAAGUCUACUCAUUAAAAAGAAAACUAUUCAGAUUCAAUCAACUCUUUCAAUAAUAACUAUUUAUAACAAGAAAAUCAUAAUUAUAAAAAUACAUUUUUUAGUAAAUUAGUUUGCUAUAAUAGCCUAUUAAGAAAGAAGGUUCAGAGGCAUGUGAACUUGGUAAAAAGUUGGGCUUACGAGUAAUCGGGGAUGAAAAAGAGGAUAUCCAGGAAUUGGUUAGAUUGUUGAAAUAUUUGAAGUUGCAACAAUAUGCCAAAGGAACUGCCCAUUUUCCCAACCACUACAGCAAAACAACAACUUGUCAUAUUUGGAAGAUUGACAAUUUAUUGAAUCAUAUCUUUAGACUGAGUUGAUAUCGUGGAACGACUCAAGUCCAAAUCAAAUCACUUGGAGUUACUUAUUUAGAAUAUUGGAUCGGAUCGGAUAAGCCAUAUCAAAUUCCUUAGAUCGGAUUGAAAUGUUGAUGUUUUAUCUGCCAACAAUCAUUAUUACCUUGGUUGUUUAUAUUAUAUUGUAUUUAGCUAUUUUAGUAGAUGUUUAGUAGGGAUUGUAAUAGAUCUUCAUUAUAUUAGCAAGUCUCGAAAACUCUAUAUAAUUGAGAGACUUGUAUAGGUUGAUGUACUAGCUAUUGAGAGAACUUAUCUGUUCGAGUGAGGAACAUUAUUUGUGAAGAGUGCAUUUGUGAUUGUAAAACAUUUGUGUUUUGGUUUUACAGAUUGAGUUCUCAAAGGAAGAAUUUAGUGGUGAGAGAUUUAAUCAUUGAGGUACAUGGGUGAGUACUUGUAACACCCUUCGCCUGUACCCCUCGCCGGAAUAGGGUUCGAGGUGCUACCAGAUUUAAACUUUUCAUACACACGUAUAUUAUCCUUUAAUCGGGCUUACAAGGCCCAAAAUAUUCAUGAGGCAUUAUUAAAUAUUUACCAAUAUCUUAGUCUUGUAUCAUUUACUUACUCAACUUUACAACCCUAUACAUGCCAUAGACUCGAAACACUAAGAUUUACUUACGCCGAUAGCGUAGACUUGACAAUGUGAUAAUAUCUCUGACGGCCUCCAACCCGAGCUAACCUGGCAACCCUAGGGAAUAUGGAAAAGAAAAGGGGAGUAAGCUUUACGCUUAGUAAGUUCAUAAGAAAACAAUAAGCAACUCAUUAACAAGUUUUAUCAAUGUUUACAACAUAAUCACAAAUUCACUAAAAGUUGUCUUCCUGAACAAUAGUCACUAAAUUAUUUAUAACUGGAACUACAAAACUCCAAAUCAAUUGCCGUUAAUUUUCCCUGAAAAUAAACUCAUAUAUCUUCCAUCCAUAAAAUUUUCAGAAUUUUAGGUUUGGCCAAUCAAUGCCAGAUUUUUCUUAAAGUUUCCCCUGUUUCACUGUUUGACUAAUCUGACCACUCUUCACUACGAAUCAAAUUUCUCAUUGUACAGAAUUCAAAAUAUGUUCUAUUUGAUUUCAUUUGAAACUAGACUCAUUAAGGAGUCUAAGAAUAUAAAUUUUAUCUUAUAACCAUUUUUGUACAAAUUAUAAUGAUUUUCUAAAAACAGAACAGGGGACCCCGAAGUCAUUUGACUCUAUCCCACGCCACUUCAAAUAUCUCAUUAUCAGCAAUUCUUUUGCUUACACAGUUUCUUUUUAAGAAACUAGACUUAUUAAGCUUUAAUUAAAUAAUUUAUUCAGCUUCUAACUCAACUCCAAAAAUUUAUGGUGAUUUUCCAAAAUCACGUUACUGCUGCUGUCCCAAGCAGAUUUAUUACAAAUUUACUCUUUCACACAUUCUUUGCAUUCACAUUAUUUAAACAUGUAUAUCACCAAUCAAUUUCAUCACAUAUCUAUAAUUUCACUCAAGCAUAAUCUCAAUACAAUACAUCAUGCUCAAUGAUUCGCACACAACCGUUCAAAUUAGCAAUUAUAAGAUGAUUUCUCACAUAGUCUACCCUUAUCGAUAAUUUACGAUGGUUUUGCCCUUACUCACAUAUAUGACAUAGGCAUUUUCACCUAUGCUUCUCAUUUCACAUUCAUGAUUCAAUUCCAAUCGAUCUAACAUGCAUAAGAAUAUAUCACAUACCUGGCCAACUUAUAUCACAUACCUGGCCAACUUAAUGCAUUGAACAAAUUCAAUUACCGAUUUAACACAAGGUCUCAUAGUCUUAGACUUUUAUCAAAUCACCGGCAUUUAGCCUGCUAGAUUUUAAACCCGAUAAUAUUAUUCACCAGCUUAAAGCUUGCUAGGCUCAAAGCCCAAAUAUCACCAUUAUAAAGUCGUCUCAUAAACAAUUCAUAUAAUAUAGCAUGUAUACCUGUUCACUUUGCUCUAUUUAAUCAUUCAAUCACAAUUUUAUAAUUUCCCUUUGAAUCAUUCGAUAUUUUGCACACUAAGUGUCAUUCUCAAUAUCUCGCACACUAAGUGCCAUUCUCAAUAUUUCGUACACUGAGUACCAUAUUUGAUUGCCCCGCACACUAAGUGCCACAUUUUGUCGAUAUGUCGUUAGACAUUAAAAUAUUCACGUAUAUACAAUUUAUACAAUAUUAAAGCAUUAGAAACAUCAAUUUAACAAUGCUUAUUGCAUACGAACUUACCUAGCUAAAUUGUAGAGAUACCAAAGUUUAGGGGCAUUUUGGUAAUUUUCUCAUUUUUCUCGAUUUUCCACCCGAUCUUGAUCUAAAUUAAUAAUUUCAUUCAGUAUAUUAAUUUAGACAUUAAAACACCUCAUUUCAUACAAUUUGGUCAUUUUUUUCAUUUUUACAAAAUUACCCCUAAAGUUUUACUUUUAUUCAUUUUAGUCCCUGAGCUCAAAACAUGCAAAUUAACCAUUUUUAACCAUAAUUAAGCUUAACCAAAUGUUCAUGGUAUCAAAACAGUCCCUAAUUCACUUUAUGGAAAAAUUAUAGUUUUGCCCCUAAUAUUUCAACUUCUUUACAAUUUAGUCCCUGUAUCAUAAAAAUGCAAAUUCAUGAAAUUGAGUAAAAUUAUACUAUAGACGAAUAUCACUAGUGUCUCUAGCAGGCCACACAUUUCAUUUAUUUGACAUUUUAACCACAAAUUUUUCACAUUUAUCAAUUUAGCCCUUAAUUAUCAAUUUCACAAAAAAUCACUUAACAAAAGGUGUUUAACUAUCAACAAGGACUCAUAUUCUUCCAUUAAACUUCAAAGCUCUAUUAUACUCAUCAAUGGCAAAUAUCAAACUAUUCAAUGGUUUUGCAAAAUAGUCCCCUCAUUAGAUAGAUUAAGCAACAACGAUCCCGAAAAUAUAAAAAUAAUUAAAAACGGGACUAGAAAUGCCUACCAUGCAUUAGCUGAAAGUUAGAAGCUUCUUCCAUGGCUUCUCAAGCCUUCAUAUUCGGCUGGUAAAAAGAGAAUGAAAAAGAUGACACCUUGAUUCUUUUAUUAUAUUCAUUUUAUUAUUAUUUUUAACCAAUUUACAAUAUUAACCUUUAUACACUUUAUUUAUUACACCAAAUGCCAAGCCAUCAUAUCCCACUAUCUCUUUAAUGGGCUAAUUACCAAAUAAGGACUUCUACUUUUAAGUUCUAUAUCUAUUUAAUACCUUUAGGUUAUAGAACACAACUUUUGCAUUUUACACAAUUUAGUCCUUUUUGUUUAAUUAACUAUCGAAACGAUAAAAUUGUUCAACGAAACUUUAAUACCAUCUUAUUGCCACUACGUAAAUAUUUAUAAAAAUAUUUACGACUCGGUUUAUAAAAAUAAGAUCCCGAUACCUCAUUUUCUAAACCCACUUGACCUCAGGGUCAUACCACUUGAACUUAAUAAAUCGUUUAUAAAAAAAAUCACAAUAUCAAAAACAUUUUUAAAAUCACAAUUAACUCGUAAAUAUUAAAUAUAAUAUUUACCAACCUACUCAUUCGGAUUUGGUGGCCCCGAAACCACUGUUCCGAUCAACCCUAAAAAAACGGGCUGUUACAACUCUCCCCCCUUAGGGAUUUUUCGUCCCCGAAAAUCUUGCCAGAGAAUAAAUUAGUGAUUUUCUUUAACCAACCUCAACAAUUUCUCACCUAGUCUCAGAUUUCUCAACUUUUCAAUCUCAUGAGCUAAGAUUAUGAUCUGCUCUUUGCUAUACAUCAUAACAAGCUAAGUUUUUACUUCUGUAAGAGAUACUAUAGAUAAAGGAUCUUAUUUGUAUCAUCACAUCAUAUAUAUAUAAAAAACACAUUACGGGUCUUCUCAAGUUUUGAUAAUAAUCUCAUUCAAUCCGAUGAACUGCGAACUCAACUUCUCUUUAUAGCUAAAUCUAGAAAUUCUAUUCCCACUAUAAUACAUUUACAAAUACUCAAUUUUCUAAUUGAAAAUUCAAUGAUUUUACGCAUCAAGCCCACAUAUAUUUUCUGCAAAUCUGAAACUAUUUUUAGACGGUCAUGAAUUACUUUCAUUUCCCUUCAGUCUUUCCAAUCACAUCGACCCCGAAAUUCUUUUUAUGAAAAUUCAAUUCAAUACAAAGAAGUUCAGUAAUUGCAACCAUACCACACUCAUACAAUGCUAUCUUAACAUUCAUCUCAUAACUAUUAUUAUUAUAUGCAAACUUAACCAACAAUAAAUGUCUUUCUCGGUUGCUUUCAAGUUCUAGAACACAGUGUUACAAAGUAAUUCCAUACCCAAAGCUCAUAGUAGUUUAUUUUAGUAACACGAUAUAAUCCUCGUGUCCAUUUGAACAAUGAAAACUAGCACUCUUUUAGUACUCCCCGUACGGACAGAUAAUUACCACUGUGCUAGAUGUCACAAUUGUUGUAAAAUCUCUGGAUUUCUCAAUACACGAACUCUAUCUCGACAUAACGAACAAUUGUAGGUUCCAAUCUGAAAUUCUAAAUCAGAAAUCAAUUUACGUUGUACCAUUUUUAACUUGUAAUUCACUGACACACCUCUUAACCUCACAAAUUUGCUAAUUAAACAUCAAUUUAGUUUCUAGCUCAGCCAAUAACUACUCAUCAUUUGAUAAGACUAAUCACAUGAUUAUCGACCGUAAAACACAUAAAGAUUCUCGCUCAGAACCCCAAAGACUAUAAUCAUUUGUCCAGAUUGAUAAUCAAUCGCUGACUCAUAAUCUUUCAACAGUUCAAACCAUCUUUAAUUCUUGUGUCGAAUAACUCUUCACCUGAGAACUGAUGCUUCAAUUAACAAUUUCUUCAACUGUUUACCACUUUAUUGAUAAUUAUUACAUCAUUCAGACUUCCCAAUCACGAUCUAUAAGAACAUUUCUCAAUAAAAUCAUUCUGAUGGAUAUAAUUCUGUAUCAUAUCUUCUAGAAUAUGAAUCAUGCAUUCAGAAUAUUCAUCUAUUUAUCCGUGAACAUUCAAACUUUAUUUCCACCCUGUGGAUAGAUUCAGAUACAAGUAACUCGAUUAAUCCUUCAAGCAAUUAAUCUAAUCAAACUAGACAACUGAAUCGAUCUCGACUGUCAAGUAAUAACUUUUCAAUUAUUAAUCAGCGAAGCUUUGAACCAUACUGAAGCCACAACCAUCAGAUAAUUUAAAAUCAUAGUGCCAUAAUAAGGCUGACAUCUCAACCGUAUAGAUAUAUAAUGUUCCAAUUAUCAAUAAUGCAUUUUGAACAUAAGAGAAAUUGAAAUAUAGUUACAGUCAUUCAAUAAAUAUUUUUCACAGAUAACCAUAUAGAAUUAUAAGAAAGCAGAGAUACUGUAAUUCUCGAAUAUAUCACUAUACUAAUCUUUUUUAAGAAAGCACCCAUAUCAGAUGACAGAUAUCUCAAUGAUGUUUCAGAGGAAAUCCAGAAGUAAAGCAUCACUCAUAUGCACCGGAAUCAACAGUAACAGAAACAAUAUAAUCUUCAUGUAUACUAAGCAGAUCAACAACUAGUAGGAGCAGAAUACCAACAUCACACAGAUUUAAUCGUCGAUCUUUUCUUUCAAUAAAAUGAAAUAGAAUACCAGAGAAAGAUAUAAUAAUGCUGAUUGUAACCCGAACAGCCCAAUAAUGCUUUCAUAUAUCAAUAUAUAUAGAUAACGUUCUCAUAUGAUAAGAAUUUCAUCUGAAAAUAUACAGCUUCACAUACCCCCGAGGAUAAUUGAACACAUAGAAUACCCAGAAGAGUUCUCGUAAACCAUUCGACUAUAAUUGCUGUGCUCAAAUAUCUUUAUAAUUCAAAUAUGAUUCUACUGUCUAUCUCUGACAUCACUAAUUUCUCAUUAUCCCAACACUAACGGAGGCCAAUUCGGAAGAACUUCCAGUUAAUAUAUUCUUUAGAUAUCAUACCUGAAUAUUUGGUUUCAUCUAAUUCAACUUUUCUUUUAACAGUGACUUUGCAUAUUACAAAUGGCCUUCAACACGAUCCAAUAUCUUUUCUGUUGCUGUCUUCACUUGCGGACUCAUUCUCUUAUCUGAUCACAAUACUAAUCUUUCAAUCACGAGACUCUGUCAUUCCGCACUUGUAAGCUUAUUUAAGCCAUAUAGUACGGAUCUCAUUAUAAUGCUUUACCAAUGAGGGGGUGAGGGUUGUAAAGCCAACAAUUUUAACUCUUACGUAAGCAUGCACAUCACACAUACUAUUAUGAACGGACAGUUCAUUACUAAUUCCGUAUUCUCAAACAUCUAGCAAUCAUUUACUUAUGAUCACUUGGUACUUAACACAUAGCUCAUACGCUAAAUCAAAUAAUAAAUUCCAAAUAAAAAUAUUCACACAACAAUCAUAUACCCAACAUCACAACUCAUAUACUCAUAUAAUUAUAACAUUUAUCAAUAGCAGAAUAUCAUGCAUUCUGAUUCAUACCUUUUUAUGAGUUUCAACUCAUCACCAACACAUUUUCACUCAAACGUUUGAGUAUAACAUUCUGUAUUAUCAGAAUUAGCUCGGUUGGAAAGCAUAUAUGUCUUAUGAAAAACACACAGAAUAAGCUUUGAAAGCUUAGUAAGCCUUAAGCAAAUAAAUCAUUUCAAUGAUUAUGAAAAUUACAUAUCACUAAUCCGAAUUGAAAAAUAAUCUCAAUUGCAUAUACAUUCAUAGUACUCUUAAGUUCAUAUAACCUUAUUAAAUAGCUUCACUUAUUUAUAUUUACUAAUAACUUAUGACUAUGAUUUUAAAUUCGUGUGAUAACUGUCAAUUCAUCCGUAUGAACAAAACUUGCACAUAUCCAAUACAUACCAACCAAAACAUGUCAUAUUUUUCCCUGUUUGAUUCAUGGAGCCACAAGGUCACAUGUCAAGCACAUAUAGCAUAUAUUUAUCUGUUAUUUAUCACGUCUCAUUUUCACAUGGACUACAUACAUCUGACCAAGUUUAUUCAAUAUCGAUGCCACUGCCCUGGACAGGGUUUUACACGAAUCAUAAGUGAUGCCAGUGUCCCAGACACGUUAUUAUACACUACUUCAAAUCAAUGCCUUCGUCUCGGACGAGGUCUUACAUGAUCUCAUUUCACACACUUAGUGCCCCAACAACCGAUCUUGCACACACAGUGCUUGGUUACGAAACUCGCACACACAGUGCCUCAACAACCGAUCUCGCACACACAAUGCUCGGUUACGAAAAUCACACACACAGUGCCUCAACAACUGAUCUCGCACACACAGUGCUCGGUUACGGAACUCGCACACACAGUGCCUCAACAACCGAUCUCGGACACACAGUGCUCGGUUACGGAACUCGCACACACAGUGCCUCAACAACCGAUCUCGCACACACAGUGCUCGGUUACGGAACUCGACACACAGUGCCUCAACAACCGAUCUCGCACACACAGUGCUCGGUUACGGAACUCGACACACAGUGCCUCAACAACCGAUCUCACACACACAGUGCUCGGUUACGGAACUCGCACACACAGUGCCCGGUUACGGAACUCGCACACACAGUGCCUCAACAACUGAUCUCGCACACACAGUGCUCGGUUACGGAACUCACACACACAGUGCCUAUGUUCACUUGUUGUUGCACAUUGAAGUGACUUAACCAAGUCUAUAAAACAUCACAUAUGUGCACUUUGAACAUAUCAUUUCAUUUAACUUUGGAUUCAUAUAUUCAUGAACACUUAAACAUUUCAGAGCCAACUUUAAUUUAAUCAAAUCAGUAUAGAACACAAUUUCAUUCGAACAUCUGAGUACAUAUUCUAUACUAUUAAAAUUAGCUUGAUUGAAAGACUUAUCUGUCCUAUUCAAAUAAUUUUCGUCAGAGUCAGGAGAUAUCACACUAUCGCAGGUCAAAUAUGGCAUGUACAGCUAGACUCACACACACCAUGGUAGUCCUAGAACCGACUAAACCAUGGCUCUGAUACCAAUAAAAUGUAAUACCCUUCGCCCGUAUCCCUCGCCGAAAUAAGGUUUGAGGUGCUACCAGAUUUAAACUUUUCAUACACACGUAUAUUAUCCUUUAAUCGGGCUUACAAGGCCCAAAAUAUUCAUGAGGCAUUAUUAAAUAUUUACCAAUAUCUUAGUCUUGUAUCAUUUACUUACUCAACUUUACAACCCUACACAUGCCAUAGACUCGAAACACUAAGAUUUACUUAACAACCCUAUACAUGCCAUAGACUCGAAACACUAAGAUUUACUUACGCCGAUAGCGUAGACUUGACAAUGUGAUAAUAUCUCUGACGGCCUCCAACCCGAGCUAACCUGGAAACCCUAGGGAAUAUGGAAAAGAAAAGGGGAGUAAGCUUUACGCUUAGUAAGUUCAUAAGAAAACAAUAAGCAACUCAUUAACAAGUUUUAUCAAUGUUUACAACAUAAUCACAAAUUCACUACAAGUUGUCUUCCUGAGCAAUAUUCACUAAAUUAUUUAUAACUAGAGCUACAAAACUCCAAAUUAAUUGCCGUUAAUUUUCCCUGAAAAUAGACUCAUAUAUCUUCCAUCCAUAAAAUUUUCAGAAUUUUAGGUUUGGCCAAUCAAUACCAGAUUUUUCUUAAAGUUUCCCCUGUUUCACUGUUUGACUAAUCUGAUCACUCUUCACCACGAAUAAAAUUUCUUAUUGUACAAAAUUCAAAAUAUGUUCUAUUUGAUUUCAUUUGAAACUAGACUCAUUAAGGAGUCUAAGCAUAUAAAUUUUAGCUUAUAACCAUUUUUGUACAAAUUAUAAUGAUUUUCUAAAGACAGAAUAGGGGACCCCGAAGUCAUUUGACUCUAUCCCACGCCACUUAAAAUAUCUCAUUAUCAGCAAUUCUUUUGCUUACACGGUUUCUUUUUAAGAAACUAGACUUAUUAAGCUUUAAUUACAUAAUUUAUUCAGCUUCUAACUCAACUCCAAAAAUUUAUGGUGAUUUUCCAAAAUCACGUUACUGCUGCUGUCCCAAGCAGAUUUAUUACAAAUUUACUCUUUCACACAUUCUUUGCAUUCACAUUAUUUAAACAUGUAUAUCACCAAUCAAUUUCAUCACAUAUCUAUAAUUUCACUCAAGCAUAAUCUCAAUACAAUACAUCAUGCUCAAUGAUUCGCACACAACCGUUCAAAUUAGCAAUUAUAAGAUGAUUCCGCACAUAGUCUACCCUUAUCGAUAAUUUACGAUGGUUUUGCUCUACUCACAUAUAUGACAUAGGCAUUUUCACCUAUGCUUCUCAUUUCACAUUCAUGAUUCAAUUCCAAUUGAUCUAACAUGCAUAAGAAUAUAUCACAUACCUGGCCAACUUAAUGCAUUGAACAAAUUCAAUUACCGAUUUAACACAAGGUCUCAUAGUCUUAGACUUUUAUCAAAUCACCGGUAUUUAGCCUGCUAGGUUUUAAACCCGAUAAUAUUAUUCACCAGCUUAAAGCUUGAUAGGCUCAAAGCCCAAAUAUCACCAUUAUAAAGUCAUCUCAUAAACAAUUCAUAUAAUAUAGCAUGUAUACCUGUUCACUUUGCUCUAUUCAAUCAUUCAAUCACAAUUUAUAAUUUCCCUUUGAAUCAUUCGAUAUUUUGCACACUAAGUGUCAUUCUCAAUAUCUCGCACACUAAGUGCCAUUCUCAAUAUUUCGUACGCUGAGUACCAUAUUUGAUUGCCCCGCACACUAAGUGCCACAUUUUGUCGAUAUGUCGUUAGACAUUAAAAUAUUCACGUAUAUACAAUUUAUACAAUAUUAAAGCAUUAGAAACAUCAAUUUAACAAUGCUUAUUGCAUAGGAACUUACCUGGCUAAAUUGUAGAGAUACCAAAGUUCAGGGGCAUUUUGGUAAUUUUCUCAUUUUUCUCGAUUUUCCACCCGAUCUUGAUCUAAAUUAUUAAUUUCAUUCAGUAUAUUAAUUUAGACAUUAAAACACCUCAUUUCAUACAAUUUGGUCAUUUUUUUCAUUUUUACAAAAUUACCCCUAAAGUUUUACUUUUAUUCAUUUAGUCCCUGAGCUCAAAACAUGCAAAUUAACCAUUUUUAACCAUAAUUAAGCUUAGCCAAAUGUUAAUGGUAUCAAAACAGUCCAUAAUUCACUUUAUGGAAAAAUUAUAGUUUUGCCCCUAAUAUUUCAACUUCUUUACAAUUUAGUCCCUGUAUCAUAAAAAUGCAAAUUCAUGAAAUUGAGUAAAAUUCUACUAUAGACGAAUAUCACUAGUGUCUCUAGCAGGCCACACAUUUCAUUUAUUUGACAUUUUAACCAUAAAGUUUUCACAUUUAUCAAUUUAGCCCUUAAUUGUCAAUUUCACAAAAAAUCACUUAACAAAAAGUGUUUAACUAUCAACAAGGACUCAUAUUCUUCCAUUAAACUUCAAAGCCCUAUUAUACUCAUCAAUGGCAAAUAUCAAACUAUUCAAUGGUUUUGCAAAAUAGUCCCCUCAUUAGAUAGAUUAAGCAACAACGAUCCCGAAAAUAUAAAAAUAAUUAAAAACGGGACUAGAAAUGCCUACCAUGC
rnacentral:lncRNA from 1 species